rnacentral:lncRNA from 1 species
AAAACUAUAAAUGAACAAACUUUUGAAGCCUGUAACUUACAAUAAACACAAACCCAAAAAUGACAUUUAAAUCCUGCAAGUGUUUUUUCAUCAUCCCUAACAAAAAGAAACAAGAAUAAUUAUAUACCAAUAAUUUUUCUACAAAAAAUUAUAGACUCAAGGGAGGAUUAAGCGGCGGAGCUGUUGGUGUAGAUGAAGAGACAGGCUGCAUCAUCGGCGCAGAGGAGGAUGGAGGAGGAACAAAGAAUAAGGAAGGCUUUACGAGAUUAGGUGUCCCGUUGCCAGAUUCAGAGGUGUCAAUGGGUGGCAUUAAAGGAGUAUGUGCUGAUAGAGGUGGGGAUGGUAUUUGCAAGGUUGGCACAGUAGGAGAAGCAACACUGGCAGGAUGAGAAGGUACAGAAAUAGUUGUAUUGCACUGGUAAGGUUGUGCAGAAAUUGCUGCAUUAGAAUAAAAAAUUAUAGUCCAGAGUAAUGGGUCGCUCAAUUUAUCGAAGAUAACUGGAUCUUAGAAUAGCCAUCAGAUUUUCCAUCAGAUAACUGGAUCUUAGAAUAGCUGGAAAUGUGUUUGGUUACUGAGAAAGAGAGCAAGAAAAUGAAAGAAAUCUAUUUCACUUUUUAUUUAUCAGAAUGAUUACAUUCACAAUGAAUCUAAGCUGAUAUUUAUACUUGAAUGAAUACACACGAGAUUCUUCUUGCUAGAUACUUCUAGAAACUCUACACGCACACUCGCACUGAGCUAGUGGUUACUAAAACCGUUACAACAAUAUUGCCAGCUCAGCAUAACCAACUUAUAACUAACACACUCAGCUGCAGGGGAAACCAUCAAGCUUACUGCGCAUCCUCUGUAAUCAAGCUUCUUUAAGCAUGCUCUGCAGAUCAUAUUUUUGUGGGUCUUACAUUAUCCAAAAAAAUAACUCGUCCAUCUAGUAACUGCAAGUACAUACUGUGAGAUGCUUAAACUCAACAAUAUAAGCAUGGUAAAUUAGAGAAAAAUGAUGCAAAUUAGAUACACCUGCACAGAAUGCCAGUUAAUUUGGUCAUAAUUAGAUAACAAGAUUGCAAAUUCUGCAGCCAAAGGUAGAACGCAACUAAGGAAAUCAAAUAUGAACAUGUCUUCAAUCUCAAAAUAUUAAGAGUAGCAUAAGUAACUUGUGAAACAGUUAUAAGUUCAAAGGAAUUAGAUGAUGGCAUGGUUGAAUUUAUAAAUAUUUGAUAUUUUGGACCGAACAGGGCAAACAGAUGGAUCCAGAUAAUUAAGAAAAAAUAUCAAUUCCAUGCAACCAAAUUAGUGUGUACAAUGCAAUUGCCUUUCCCUAUGAGAGUAGAGAGCCUAAAUACAAGCAAAAACCUACUAAUGCAUCUGCAGAAGCUCACAUUCACUAGCUGCAUGAUUAAAUCACUGGAUGGUCUCGCUAUGCGGUGAAGAAUGAAAUAAUUAACGACCUGAUAAGGCUGCAACGUGAAGAAACUAUUCACCAGAAAAAGUUCAAAAUCAAAUCAACGUGGUUUUGAUUUUGGAAAAAAUGAAACAAUACGUAGUGAAUGAAUCUGCUCGUAACUAUGCAAGACACAAUCACUUCCCAGGAUCUCAGAUAUAGAUUUACCAAGUUGCACAGAUUGAAGAACGAAUCCAGAAAGAAUCAAUUUAACACAAGAAUUAAGAGAACUGAAAAGAAUAGAAACAAACACAGACAACACAAGAAUCAAUUACGUGGUUCGGUUGCACCAAGGAGGCACAACCUACAUCCACCACGGGAGAUGCUUUGGAGAGCUUUUAUUGAAUAACAAUGGAGGAUCUUUUACAGGGCUUUUACUUAAGAUUACAGAGAACUCAUCUUUCACAUUCUCUGAUAUCUCUCUCUCUCUCUUAACACGGUUACACACACGCUCAGCUCACAAACUGAACUACAAGAGCAAUUAGCUAAAUCUAGAUUGCACAGCUUGUUGACACGUUGAGUAACAGACUUAAUGAACUGAAUCAAGUUGCCUCGCACGGCUAUCACGUGCAUCACUUAAAGCUUUCCCUUAAACGACACAGAAGAACUGCCGUUUCAAACUUAAGAAACAAGUGAUUACACACGUGCUUGAGCCCGUGACUUUUAAGUGCUCUUAUCUUAUAUUGCCAAAACGCUGCCGUUUAGAGCUGAUGAGUUUGAUCCACCAGCAAGCCUCACACAAUAUCACUUGAGCAACACUAUAAAAUUAUUCAAAGAAAUCUCUAGGUCAGUAUCCAAAUAUAUGGCUCCGUCCGUUCCACCAGCACCUAAAAUAUCAGAUCCCCCCAUUUGGAUUCGAUUGAUUAAUUUGAGCAUAUAAAAUCGGGUUUUAAACUUCCCUAAUCAAAAUUUAUAUUCCGCAGAAUCGGUUCCUUUAACAUGAUGCAUUACAUAAUAUUUUGUUUGCAAAAUAAAGAAGAAAGAUGACAUAAUAGAAACACUCGCAGAGAGAGAAUACCUUUGACGAAAAGCUUAGAAGUGAAUCCUCUGUAAAAUACGAGUUGAGCUGCUGAAUUUUUCGAGUUUGAAUGAGAGACUGCGCCAUUUCUGAAAAUGUUUUUUUCUCAUUAGCGCCGCCAUUUUUGUAAUAGAGGGUAAAGAAAUAAGUAACAAAGUAAGAGGUGAGCAGAAGCGGCCCAAUUUAGUUAUAUGCAUGUAUGUGAUCAAAAUUGGAUGGUUAAAUUUUGUUGUUUCCAAUAAUUUUAUGUUGUAUCUUUUUUAAUAAUAAAGAAAACUUGCAUUAAAACUAAAAGUAGGGUAAUACCUGAUUUUAUAAAUAGAUUGCAGUGUAAUUUUGAAAAUAAAACAAUAAUUUACGAAAUGGUUAUAACAUAAUUUUAAUUUUUUUUCAAAAAGGAAAAACAACAAAAGUAAGAUAUAGAGAAUGAGGGCUGCAAACUUUGUAUCUUAAACGGCCGUUAGAUUAUUUGUAAAUGAAAGCAACGGUGAGAUAUUAGUGGCUUAUGGAAACAGGUAAUCAUAAGGACUACAAGUUUUUUUUGGUUACAUUGAUAUAUUACAAUCAUGAUUCUAUUAAUAUUUACAAUCAGAAUUUUAUCUGAUUAUCUUUAAUAAUUCUAAACUAGUACAGCCCAAAUUUCUAUUCUCAUAUAAUAUUAAAGAGAGAUAUAUAUUCUUUUCCUCUAUUAAUGAAGAGAUUUUUUUACUUCUAUCCAAUUUAAUUGGAAUGAGAAUUAAGUACUUUCAAUAGUGAGGACUCAGAACUCAUACAUGCAGAGUGUGGGGAGUGACAAUGGGCCAAGAGACCAUUGACAAGUACAAAAGAGUGGUUGCAAUUAAUUCAAACCGCUACACACGGUAUUGCAACCAAAUUGAGGGCCCAUUUUUGUUUAUUUCAUUGAAAAAUAGUUUGCACAAUUAAUUCAAACCGCUACACACGCUAUUGCAACCAAAUCGAGGGCCCUUUUUUGUUCCUUUGGUUGAAAAUUAGUUUGUACAAUUAAUUCAAACCACUACACACGCUAUUGCAUCUUUUGAAAAAGAAAAAAGUGGAAUAGAUUUCCAAGAUUAAUUCAGAGAAUAAGAUUUAAUAAUAAUGAUGUUAGAAAUCUUGAUAUUUGAAUCUUAAUAUUAUGUAUCACUGAUUUAUUAAAUAAUAGAUUUCAUAGUUUGUAAAAGUAUUUAACCACUUGAUAAAUAUUAUAUUUGUUGAGACUAAAUUAGGAUUUAAAUGUUGGAAUAUCUAACAUUACAUAAAUAAAUAAAAACUUAAUAAUUUAUCUUCACACGACUAAUUAUUUUUGCAUCACAACUAACCUUAAUUAUUUUAAAAAUAAUAAUAUUAUUAAAUUGCCCUGACUAGAUAUCAAAAGAUGAAAGCAUGUUAAAAUAAGAAAUUACUAAGAAACAUGUGCUUAAACAAAUGUUCAGGCUACGAACAAUUAAGAAGAAACAACUUACAAUCAAAGGUUAAGAUUAUGAACAAUUUAAGGAAGGUAUUGAGCAGAUAAAGGGACGGAAUGGUUGUUUGAAUUGCCGAUGACAAAAAUGCUUGUGUUGUGAAAAGAAAUUUGAUGGUUUGUAAAUGGGUUGAAUUUUUCGCUCGCUUCAAUGACUUUCUUAUGCCCAAUAUAUUACUUUGCACAGUAGUAUUUGGGAUAUAUCCUAACAAUCAACUCUUAAUUUGGUCCCAAUAUAUUACUUUAUGAAUGCUUGUGUUGUUUUUUUUUUAUAUAAAAUAAUUUAUUUAACUAAUCAUAGAAAUAAGGGAGAAAAGGGGGCAUUUGUUGACUCAAAGUCAAUUACAAAUAUUCCAUGCCUAACUUCCACGCACCCUAAAGCGGUUUGAUUUGCUUUCACGCCUUCAUGAAUUUCCAUGAAAGAGAGUGCCUCUCGUCUCUUUCCGGACAGUGCCGACAAUUAUGUUAACGUGACAAAUACAUAACGUUAUUACAUACAAUAAUAAGUUUUUGGAGCCGAGACUUGAGAGGGAGGUUCUAUCUAAUUCUAAAGAUUGUAACCAAAUCAUUAUCCCCAAUUUUUUUCAGUUAAAUAAAAUAAAAUUUAUGCUUAAGUAUAAAUAAAAUCCACAGUGGAUAAAGAUUUGAUUAUCGAUUUUUUUUAAUGUAAAAUUGCUGGUUUGUUGCUUAAAAUUUUCAAUAAUAAUUUCACUUAUUUAGUAAUUAGAGAGAGAGAGAGGAUUGAGGGCCAAUGUUUCGCGAUUUGGGGUCAAUUCACAGUCAACUAACGUGUAAAACAUGAUUUCCUUUCAUGAACUUCGAAGAAAGAAAGAAGACUCUUCGCCUUCUUCGUGACAACGAAUGAUGUUGAUAUGACAAAUACAAUCGCUAUUACAGGGAACAACAUAGGACCGAGACUUGAUAAAGGGUUUGUUAAAUUACAUGUUAUUUUCUUGCUGACUGAAUUGGAAGAAAAAAAUAAAAAUAAAAUAAAAUUGUAAUCAGGGUGAUGUGUGGAAUAUAUUGAAAUAAAUAAAUAGAGAAGAGAAAUUUGUUGAUCAAUAUUCAAGAACUCAUCCAAAGUGACUGUUAAAUUCUAGAGGUUCCGUAUGAUUAGCAUUUAUUUUUAAUUUUUUGGCUUAACAUCAUAUGUAGUCACUGGUCAUGUGAUCUAGGAUAGGUUUAGAAAUCUUUUUUUUUUUAACUUCCGUAUUCUUAUUAUUUAAUUAGUUAUAGGGUUUUUUAGUAUUUGAGUAGUGAUCACAGAUCUCCUAAUAUAAAAAUAUGUUUCUACGAGUACAAAUAAAAACUAGGAUUUUAACAACCUUUUAUACUAAACCCUAAAAAUAUAUGAAUUUAUCAAAAUAAAUAAAUUUGAAUUGGUAUGCCAUAAUAAAAAUUUUACUUGCCAAAACAAAUUAAAAAAAAUAUGACGCUUAAAUCAAAUAUCGACAAAAAUAGAUAAAAAUCCAACAAGAAUCUCAAAAAUAAGAAAGAUAUCUUCAGACAAAAAUAGAAGCGUCCAAGAGAAAUUUGACAAAGACAAAUACCAAUUACUCAAGUUAUGGCCCUAUGAAGACAUCCUAUUCAUUCUACCUAGACCAGGACGUGUCGCACAUGUUUGCAUUCAAAUUUAGGUGAAAGCAAAUCGAGAGUUUGAUUAAAUUCAACCAAUUAUUAGUGUGUAAGGAUGGUAGGGAUGGAAAAAAACUCCGACCGUUCUUAGGUAUGGUAUUACCCAGAUCUGGCCUAAGCAUGUUUUUUUGAACACUCGGACUUUUUUAAUCAAAACUUAAAAAACCUAGAAUUUAUAUUUUAUAAUAUUAUAUAUAUUUAAUUUAUUUUAUAAUUUUAUAUUUUCAAAUUUUAUUUUAAUGAAAUUGGAAUUAAAAAUAUGAGUUUUAAAUGUUUAAAAAUUUAAAAAUAGAUAAUAAGUGGACCAAAUGAACAAAAUAAUAGAUAUUUUAUAAUAUUCUUCAUAAAAAUCCAAGUUUUGAGCUAGCCCAUAAGCUUGUCUAGUGAAGUCUGGGUACCCGCGUUGCCCAAGGUUCCGCCAGAAUCCAGGCUGUGCAGAUAUUUAUGGACGGAGAGGAAAUAUUUUCAGUUGACUGAAUUAAAUAAAAAUAUAUUACAAUCAUAUUAUAUAUUAACAGAAAAAAUAAAAAGAAAUGAAGAAAAACGCAUGCAAGACUUAGACAAAGUCAAUUAAAAGCUGGGAGUAUCAUCAGUUCAAUUGGUUUUAAAUAGCGUAGAACCAUCCUCUCGUUGUUGCAGAAGAGAGACAGAAAGAGUGUGUGUAGGUGAUUAUAAUUAAGAAGAUAUAAUGUGUGGUUCAAAAAGAGUGUGGGUGAGUGAGUUAAUUUUCAUAUUAUUAGUAGUAAAAGGGUGGUGGAGUGAGGGAUGUUUGGAGCAAGAGAGGUAUGCUCUCCUCCAACUCAGACAUUUCUUCAAUGAUGAUCAAUGUCUUCAAAACUGCUGGGUAGACGAUGAGAAUUAUUCAGAUUGUUGUCAGUGGGAACGGGUUGAGUGCAACGACACUACUGGCAGAGUGAUUAAAUUAGAUCUACGAGAUACUAGGAAUUGGGAAUCAGCAGAGUGGUAUAUGAAUGCCUCUCUGUUUACUCCCUUUCAACAAUUAGAGUCUCUUUAUCUAAUUGGGAACAAUAUAGCUGGUUGUGUUGAAAAUGAAGGUCCUUAAUUUACUUUAUUUUAAUUCUUCCUCCUCGUAAUUUCUUACAUCUAUCUGAUCCCUUUUGGCUUUUAUUUAAUUUUUACGUGAUACAAUAAAAUUAUUUUUUAUUUUUUGUCAGGUCUAGAUACGUUAUCAAGGUUGAACAACUUGAAGUUUCUUUAUUUAGACUAUAACCACUUCAACAACAGCAUCUUUUCAUCUCUAGGUGGUCUUUCAUCACUCAGAAACUUAUCAUUGAUUGGUAAUAGAUUGAUUGGAAGUAUUGAUAUUAAAGGUAAGUACGCUUCAACCCUUUUCCCCUGUCCCAUCUUUUGUGGAUCUUAUUUCACUGAGCAGCUGGAAGUAUUGAUACGAGAUCUAGCUAGAUUCUUGCGAGUUUAGGCUUCAAGGCUUUGAAUAUUAUAAAAAUAGGAUUAAGAAAUUAUCAAUAUAUGCAAUUUUCAAUGCUUCUCAUAGUCAGACACAAUUCAAUCUAAUUAUUUCUUAUGUCCUGUCUUCAAAAGUAAAGAAUUGUACACUAAAUGGAAAUCGACAUCAUAGCAUUUUAUUUUCUGUAAUGAUAUUUCUUCGUUAACAAAUUUAUAUCCUAAGAGGGAUUGGAUUUAAAAAAAAAAAGAUUUGAUGUUCAAGGUAAGCCAUAAUAACCUGCAUCUUAUUUGUCUGCCGAUAUCCAAAUUUGUGCACUGAAUUUAGUAUUUUGGUUAUUGUGAAGGGAUCAGAUAUUGUCUUCCAUAGACCAACUUGUAUUUACUUAAUUAAUUAAUUAACGCCAUUUAGUAUUUAACAAAUUAAAAUUUCGUAUUUAAUCUAUUUUAAAUUUUUUAAGAAAAAAGAAAAAGAUAUAGCCGUAGGUAAAGCUAAAAUAAAUUUAAAUUCCUUACAAAUUUAAAUUCAUGGUUGUCAGCUAAAUAUACCUGCUUAAAGCCACUCAGUCGAGCCCUUUAAGAGCUGCUUUAAGUUUUUCGGAUUAGCCAUAUUCUUUUCACAUAAAUAAAUUUCUUUGCGCCGAGAUUUAAAAUAACGAAGGAGAAAAUAAGUUAUUUAAUUAACCCUGUUUUAAGUGUUGGCAUAAAUGCAGGACUGGAUUCCUUGGGUAACUUGGAGGAGCUGGACAUGAGCGACAAUGCAAUCAACAAUCUAGUGAUUCCUAAAGGUAUACAAAAUGUUCAAAUAUUAAUAAUUUGGAAGACAAUUUAAUUGAUUUGAUUAGGGAUUUCCCAAUGACACUUACCCAAAAUAAUUUAAUCCGAAAUUGUAAUCCAAAUAGAUUACAGAGGUUUGAGGAAGUUGAAUACCCUUUACUUAGGGGGAACGGAAAUUGCAAUGAUAGAUGGAAGCAAGGUGUUACAAUCAAUAGGAUCACUACCGUCCCUCAAAACACUUUACCUUUCGUCUACUAAUUUUAAGGGAACAGUAGUUAAUCAAGGUAAGUAAGUCUUUUAUGUCGAAAAUAAUUGAAUUAAUAUAUAUAGCUAAAAUUUACUGUUUCUUCUUCUUUGUAAAUAGAAUUGCACAAUUUCACCAACUUGGAAGAAUUGAUAUUGGACGAUUCUGAUCUCCACAUAAGCCAGCUUCUGCAAAGCAUCGCAUCAUUCACUUCGUUAAAGUAUUUGUCAAUGGGAUUUUGUACACUCACGGGUGCGCUACAUGGUCAAGGUAAAUUACGGGUAUCUGAAGCUUUUAUGAUAUUAAUUCGAUAAUAAUUAUUUCUUUUCAAGUUAAUUUUCUCCCAUAAAAUAAUAUAUAUUUUUUUAAAUUUUAUAUAUUUUCACUGUCCAAUAGUUCUAGCUUCUCUAAUUUGCAGGAUUCUUGAUUAAGGUUAAUGAAAUUUUAGUUCUGUUAUGUUAAGAAUAUUUCGAUCGCUUAGAAGAGUAAAGAAAAAUAAGUAAAUUAACCAAAAAAAAAAGAAAAGAAAAGGACCGGAUUAUCCUUAUUCCCUUGCAUUAUGUGAUCAAUAUCAAAAUUAUAAUCAUUUCUUGUUUAUUGCUUGUAGAUUUUCGUAAAUUCAAGAAUUUGAAAAAUCUGGACAUGAAUCUGGUGUAUGUUGACGUCAACACCAGUUUUCUUCAAAUUGUCGGUGAAUCGAUGCCUUCUCUCAAGUUUUUAUCACUGACAGAUUCAAUUCUUAAUAAAAACACCAUUCUUGAUCAAGGUUAAUUAAUGAUUCUCCUUCUCCCUCUCUCGCAUCAUAACUAAAUUUAAUUGAGAAUAUCUAUAAUGCGAGCUAUUUAUAAACUUAAUGAAAGAUGAUAAGGAGCUACUAUAAUGACAAAAACAACUGUAAAAUAGUGCGCUGUUGUAGUGUUAAUUGAAAAAUAAUGCUAAUUUUAUAGUCAUUUUGUUGCCAUUACGUCAGAUUCCAUUGUUCAAUUAUUUAAGUUUUAUGCAAAUAUAUUUUUCAGGACUUUGUCGGUUAGUGCAUCUACAAGAGUUAUACAUCGGCGGUAAUGAUUUGAGAGGUAGCUUGCCAUGGUGCUUGGCAAACAUGACAUCCCUCCAAGUGUUAGAUGCCUCUUUUAAUCAACUUACUGGAAACAUCUCCCCAGGCCUUUGUGAGUUGGUGCUUCUGAGAGAGUUAUACAUUGAUUACAAUGAUUUAAGAGGUAGCUUGCCUUUGUGCUUGGCAAAUUUGACUUCCCUUCGAGUAUUAGAUGUCUCUUACAAUCAACUUACUGAAAACAUCUCAUCUUCCCUCAUGCAUCUAAUAUCUAUGGAAAAGCUCAUACUUUCAAAUAAUCACUUCUUCCAAAUCCCUAUUUCACUUGAACCACUUUUCAAUCUCACAAAACUCAAGACUUUCGAUGGUGAAAUAUACGCAGAAACUGAGUCACAUUAUAAUUCUUUGACCCCAAAAUUCCAAUUGACUUCUAUCUCAUUGUCUGGCUACGGAGAUGGUGGCACAUUUCCCAAAUUCUUGUACCAUCAGCAUGACUUGAAGAAUGCUGAUCUCUCACACCUUAACUUGAGUGGAAAUUUUCCAAAUUGGUUGGUAGAAAACAAUACGAACUUAGAGACGCUUCUUCUUGCCAAUAACUCUCUUUUUGGAUCAUUUCGGAUGCCAAUUCAUUCCCACCAGAAAUUAGCAACAUUGGAUGUCUCCAACAAUUUCUUUCAAGGCCAUAUCCCAGUAGAAAUCGGAAUAUAUCUGCCAGGCUUAAUGCAUUUAAACUUAUCUAGAAAUGCUUUCAACGGUAGCAUUCCCUCUUCAUUUGCUGAUACGAAAAUGUUGAAAAGCUUGGACAUAUCCUACAAUCAGUUGACUGGUGAAAUCCCUGAGCGCAUGGCCAUGGGUUGCUUCUCAUUGGAAAUUCUUGCAUUGUCAAACAACAGUUUGCAAGGUCAUAUAUUCUCUAAAAAAUUUAACUUGACAAAUUUGAUGAUGUUGCAGUUGGAUGGUAAUAAAUUCAUUGGAGAGAUCCCAGAAAGCUUAUCUAAGUGCUAUUUGUUGGGAGGAUUGUAUCUGAGUGAUAAUCAUCUCUCUGGUGAGAUUCCAAGAUGGUUGGGUAAUUUGUCAGGUUUAGAAGAUAUUAUAAUGCCCAAUAACAAUCUUGAAGGACCAAUUCCAAUCGAGUUUUGUCAGCUUGAUUAUCUGAAGAUUUUAGACCUUUCAAACAAUAGUAUUUUUGGAACUUUACCAUCUUGUUUUAGUCCAGCAUCUAUCGAACAAGUUCAUUUGUCGAAAAACAAGAUAGAAAGACGGCUGGAGAGUAUAAUCCAUGACAGCCCUCAUUUGGUGACAUUCGAUCUUAGUUAUAACAGCUUACACGGAAGUAUUCCAAAUUGGAUUGACAGACUACCUCAGUUAAACUACCUUCUUUUAGCUCAUAAUUAUAUUAAAGGCGAAAUACCAGUUCAAUUAUGCCAGUUGAAGGAAGUGCGGUUGAUUGAUCUUUCUCAUAAUAAUCUAUCUGGUCAUAUUCCUCCUUGCUUGGUUAACACUUCACUCAGUGAAGGUCAUCAUGAGGCAGUAGCUCCAACUUCUAGUUCGUGUGGUCGAGCGUCUGGCUAUGCAAGUCCAUGUGCGAAAAAUACAAGUGGACUUCCGAUGGGAAAGGAAGAAACUGUACAGUUCACAACAAAGAAUAUGUCCUACUAUUAUCAAGGAAGAAUUUUGACGAGUAUGUCUGGGAUUGAUCUUUCUUGUAACAAACUGACAGGUGAGAUUCCUACUCAAAUUGGAUAUCUUACAAGGAUUCGUGCGCUAAAUCUAUCUCAUAACAAUUUGACGGGCACAAUCCCGACAACAUUUUCAAACCUGAAGCAAAUCGAAAGCUUGGACCUCUCCUACAACCUACUGCAUGGGAAAAUCCCUUCUCAGCUCACUGUGCUAAAUACAUUGGCGGUCUUCACAGUAGCAUACAAUAACUUAUCAGGAAAAAUUCCAGAUAGAGUUGCACAAUUUUCAACUUUUGAGGAAGAUAGCUAUGAGGGGAAUCCUUUUCUUUGUGGAUGGCCACUGUCUAAAAGUUGCAAUGAUAGUGGAUUAUCAGCAGUGACACGAGAAGCUUACACUGAUAAUGAAGAAGGUGAUAGUUUAAUUGACAUGGACAGUUUCCUAAUCACUUUUACAGUAUCUUAUGGAAUUGUGAUAUUAGGAAUUAUUGGAGUUUUGUACAUAAACCCCUAUUGGCGACGAAGAUGGUUUUACCUUGUUGAAGUAUGUAUGAUCUCUUGCUACUAUUUUGUAGUAGAUAAUCUUAUUCCUAGAAGAUUCUAUGGUGGAUGGAUGUAAUUUCAUUUACUUUACAACUUAUAUGUAAUUUUUAAAGAAUUUUCUUUUGCAUGCAUGGAAUAGCAACUCAAUAAAAGUAUUUGAUGCAAAUUGUCCUAGAACAACUUAGUAAUUUCAUUGCUACUAUUUGGCUGUAUAUAUACAGUUAAUGAAAUUUUUAAUCAUUCGCAGUAGGAAUUUCUUUAGAUGGCGGCCAAAACUAACAGAUUUGGGGCUCUACUUCUACACAUCAUAACAGGCAAAAGGUCUCUCUUUUACACGAUCUGAAUGAAGAUUAACUUACGCCCUCUAGGCUCUGGAGUGUGUGUAAGUUCUCUAUUAAACUUGACGGUUGAGAUUUCAGGUCCAGAUGAAAGUGAAAUGCAGGCGACGAGACUACACUUUAAGUAAACUGGGACAAACUUAAAAUAAAAAAAAUUGUAGUCCAGGGUGAGAGUGAUGGGUAGCUCAACUUAUGGAGGAUAACUAGGACUUGGAAUAACUAUCAGAUUUGCAACUCUUGUUAUAUGCUAGUGGGGAUUUAGGUAGCAAUUUUUUUUUUUUUCCUUUUUGCCCUCUUCCUCACAAUAAACACACCUAACACACCAAGCCGUGCCCAAAAUAAUCCUAUUUUAUUCAUGUCAUGAAUCCAAAAACUAUCCCAGCUCACUUUGUUUAACCAGCAUAACUAAAUUGUGGGUAUAAAUGAACACACUUUCGAAGCCUGUAACUUAUAAUAAGCUCAAACCCAAAAAUGACAUUUAAAUCCUGCAAGUGUUUUUCAUCAUCCCUAACAAAAAGAAACAAGAAUAAUUAUAUACCAAUAAUUUUUCCAUAAAAAAUACUGAUUUGAGUUGAAACACUAUACAAACUGGGUUUUAUUACACUUGCAGAAAGCUACACGGUAGACAAAAUCUAGCAGCUACAUAUUGGUAUCACUUUCAGCUGGUCAUGAAUGGUGUGCAUUCAGCAGUGCUCGAUAGACCAUGUCUAUGAAUUGAUUGUCCUAUUACAUAUAAAAGCUGGUCAGAUAUACAAGGAAAAAAAUAAUAAUUGAAAAUGCAUCACAAAAAAUAAGUGUUUCGCAUUAGUGUUUGCACUCUAAGCAUGGCAAAGUGGUGCGGGGUUCAUGAUUUUGAAGACUGUGAUAAGUGAAAAAUAGUUCAAUCCACUGAUGAACAUAAAUUUAUUUACAUGUCAAUUUAGAUAUCAUCAAAAAGUAAACAGUAAUUCAGAGUCACUUAAAAUAGUUGAUAAAAUGCGUGCCAUGAAUGUAUUUUUGUACAUAAGAAAUCCAAAGAGUAUUUCUGACAAUACAAAUAUGCUAGCUUUAAGUCUGCUGUCAAUAUGCAAUUAAGAAGAUUAUACCAGCUGCAUGAUAAAGUUCCCCUAAUCUUAAUAACAGUAAACAUGAACAUGUCAGAUGCAAUUAUAGCUUUGAGCAUUUGCAUAACCAGAAAUCCUAACCUGAACAAGCACCAGAAGUGUCUCUCGGACUUUCUCCUUGCUGAUAAAUGGUCCGCUGUCUGAAGUAAGAGCAGGAGUAAGAGAUGGUGGAGGGGUUGGUGGUGGAAAAGGUUGAAGCACUGGGGCACCAUAUGGGCGUUGCAGACUCGGGGGAGGAUUAAGUGGCGGAGCUGUUGGUGUAGAUGAAGAGACAAGCUGCAUCAUCCGUGCAUAGGAGGAUGGAGGAGGAACAAAGAAUAAGGAAGGCUUUACAAGAUUAGGGGUAGGUGCUGAUAGAGGUGGAGAUGGUAUUUGCAAAGUUGGCACGAUAGGAGAAGCAACACUGGCGGGAUGAGAAGGUAAAGAAAUAGUUGUAUUGGACUGGUAAGGUUGUGCAGAGAUUGCUGCAUUAGAAGUAUUCCCCACAGUCAAAGCUGUCUGCAAUGAUAAGGACAGAUGUCAUAUAAAAGGACAUCAUAGAAGUUGAACCUCACACAAAAAUGAAGUGAUAACAUAUGAAAAUAGUAUAUGACUUGCUGCAUUUUUGUGGUAAUGUUGCAUACUUAUGUAGAAACAUAUUAUUUCAAAGAAAACAUACACUGAAGAAGUUCACAAAAGCAGGAUCUUCAGGAACAUCAACAGCAUUUGAGGGAGUUGACUCUAGAGGACCAUCCAUAACUGCCAUAGUUGGAACAGCUUCCAGUUCCUCAAACUCACUGCAGUUUAACAUAAAAGGAACUUGAUGACCAAUUUAAGUAAUAAUUAGAUGAUAUAAGAGGUUAGGGAAAAUGAUGAGUGGACCCUUAUGGAAGAUGAUUUCACCUUAGCUAAACACGAAAAUAAAAUGAAAUCAAAGCUGAAUCCUCGAGUGCAAUGCAAAUAAUUUUUUCUCUCUCUUCUCUAACUCCUCUUAUUCGAAAUUGCUCAUCAUUGUGCAGUUCCUCGAGAUUUUGCUAGAAUAGAGAAAGCUAUUCUCCCGUUAAGUGCAGAGGAAAAAGAAGGGCAAGGGCCUGGUAUGAUGCUAUUCUAUAGGAAGUGAGAAGGUGAAGGGCUAAAAUAUUUUGCAAUUUGGAGGUGGUGUUUGUUAGUGUGUGUACUUCUGAAUUUAUUACCUCUUUAGGAUCCAUAGAAAUUGCCUCUUGUUCAGCAUGCACUGUGCCUACGAGUAAGGCGAGCUUGCAUGGUAUCUAUUGUCUAUUUACUUGGAUAUUCAAACAGGACUACCAGCAACCAAACACAAAUCCCCAAACAAAACACUCUUUCAAGUGCAAGGAAAGAGUAACUUGGGCAUAUUUAUGGUUCAAGCACUACCAUAACUAAGAAUGUGAUGCUGUCCACAAACACUAUAUCAGUGCCUUUUGAACUACAUCACAUGCUCGAAGACUUUUUUUUUAGUCAUACAUAAAUUAGCUAUAAAAUUAAGACCAUUAUACAACUAAAAAGAAAGAAAAAUUGUUUGCCACUACAUAUCAAAACUGGUAAUAGCAAUGUAAGAUGGCAGACUUCUUACUUAAACAGAUGAGAGGCUACAAAUAAAAAAUUUGUGCAAAUAAAAUAUAUGAUAAAGAGCAUAAUACCUUCUUGGGGGCUAAAAAUAAUAUACAACUUGUGAAAUAUAAAUUGAGCUACCAUUACCUUUUAGAUGUGGCAACUUUCGACUUUUGAGGCACCUUGGAAUAUGCAUUCAGAAUCCUGCAUUUGGAAACCAAAUAAACAACGUUAAUAACAAUUUUACAAUAGAAAAAUUAAAAAUUGAUAAAUGGCAGUUGUAAUUUAUGUAUGCGUAAAGAUAGCUUCACAUCCAGGGUCCUCCCAUAAACAUGCUUGUAACAAGAAUUAGUUUGCCUCAACUGCUAGCAACUAUACAAUAGUAAAAAUCACUCUUAUGAACUCAACAAUACUAGGCACCAAUAAGAGUAUGAUACAGCCAUUCUAAAUGGAAGAGAAUACAACUGUUUUACAACUAUGUUGCAUCAGGAGAUAUGUUAGGAGGAUUAAUCCAGAUACCUUCCAACCCAAUUAGGAAAACUCAAGGUCAGAAACCAGGAGCUGCAACCAAACCUUACAAUCUUGAAGGAAGAAGGAGACUUGGGGCAUUUUUCCAGAUAGGUGACUUACAAGAUCUCCUGCCAAGAAAAUAUCUACUGCUUCGAACCUCCAUUGAAAUUUCUUUUCCGUUUUUCUUGUUUUGACUUGGAACUUUCCAGCAUCAUCUAUUUGAUCUUUUUUAAAGCUAAAAUAGCAAUCUAUGGGUUGUCAACAUCUUACCCCCCCCCCCCCCCCCGGGGGGCCCCCAAAAAAAAAACCAAUGAGUUGUCAAUAAAUAGCGCCUACUCAACUUAUGUUCUCCAAUGGAUGACAAUGUGCAAAUCGACCUAGCAGCCACAUUUUUCCCCCCUUUAAACCACCAUUAGGCAACUUUUCUAACCUUUCUUUAUUGCCCACGUCUACAGAACUAUCAUAUAAAGACUACAUUAUUAUUGGGAUAGAGAAAAAAAUACAGACUAUAUUAUUAUUAUAUCUCAUUUUAUUAAUUAACUAGUGCAAGACUUAUUUAGUGUCAAAUCAAGAACUAAUUAGAAAAGACAACUCAUGAUAAUACAGACCUUAAAAAGCAAUAGCUAGGACCACCCCAUGUACUCCUAUUUUAGCCUUCAAUAUCCUGGUAAAAACACAAUUAAGUCUUGCAAAAGAACAUUCACAAGUAAAUUCAACAUUAAUUAAGAUUAAGUAUCUACUGCACCUUCAAUCAAUGACUGGGUGAAUAGCAUGGUCAACCAUCCAGUUCCUGUAGCCCUCCUUGUACCUAUGUUAGUUACAUUUUACAUAUUAAGACACGAAAAUGAAGGAUCACAGCCUGGUAAAGAAAGCCAUUAAUUAAUAGUUUUUGUUUAAAAAGUUCUCGUUUAGAUCUUUCCUAUUCAAUGAAUCAAUGUAAUCCAAGGAGAACUCUUCCAUUUCAAGCAGUGUUAGAAGAUAAUUGGAAAGCCUAAAGAUAAUAUACAAGGACCAAGAUAUCAAUUAGGUCAAAUAGUGAAUGUCAAAUAUAAAAAAUAAAUAAAAGAAGUUGUACAUGAUCAUUUACUAUCAAGUUCUGUAAAACUGAAAAUACCAUUAUCCCUGUAGAGAUUCUCAAACAACUCUUUAGCAAAUUAUAAAAUAAUUAAAAAAAGAACGAAAGUUUAAAAAAAAAAAAUGUACAACAGCCAUAUCAGGAGAUGUUUUUCUUCUCAAUCUCAAUAUUUUCUAGCCGUAAAACAAUUGAAAAGCUUAACACCAAGUGAAUUAUUAAGAAUUCAUCAUUUAAAUUCCCAAAUCGCGAAAUGUUGGUGCAACUAGGAAAGUGCAAAUGCAAUCACUUUACUAACACAAGAAACAUCAAUAGUGAGAAGCCAACUUUGUAUCAAAUUUGAAACAGAUAGAUAGAGGUCAAAAAAAUUAUAAAGACACUCAAUUAAAAGCCUUUCAAACAGCUUUUGCAUGCAACAAGAACAAAUCAAAGGCGAUGUGAAUGUAUUGAAAGACUAAUUUACAAUCAUCUACAGGACAUAAAUAUCUUGGAUAACUACUCUCUAUACCCUACUGUCCCACUGAAAAUCAUCAAAUCCCUCCAAACAAAAAUGACAAAAUGGAUAAGAAUUGUGUGGUCAAACUUCAAUAACUUAGCAGCCAGAGCAAAAACUUAUGUAGACACGCAAGCCACUCAAAAUAGUCAUAUUGUUUGCUUUCCAAACACAAGCCACUUUGUAAUGAAUAUUCAUAAAUUGCUACUACCAUGUUUGUUAAAACACGUGAAAACUACCAUCACUAACUAAAUGUAACUAAUGAUCAUCAUCACGUUCAUGGAAUCACAUGUCUGACAGUAUUAAUUAGUGCAAAUGGCAUGCUUCUUAAAACUCCUUAUUUAUCACAUGGGCGCCAUUCCAAUCAACCAAUGAUUCUGAUCUAGUCAGCAUAUUCAACCUACGAGCCAGUAAUACCUCCAUUGCUUCUUUAGAUUUCUCAACAAAAUUCCACAUUCUAACCAUACUUCUGAACUUGUUGCUCCCAUAGACUAAUACAAUAUAAAGAUUUCUUCCCACACCACCUCAGCCCCCACUCCUAAAAAACCAAUUUAAAUUCUCAUUGACUGUACAACCUAUAGUCCAUACCAAAUUGAAAAACUUACAAAUAUAGAACCUCAAAGAAUCUUCUUGCGUUCCAUUUUUUACAGCAAGAAAAUUGACUUUUACCACAUGCAAGUCAACAAAUAAAACAAUCAUGUCUUUGUGAGAUGCACAUUUUCAGACGAAUCUGAAGAACAAUGAAACCAUAAAAACCUAAUAUGAGAACACUGAGGACUCCAGAUAUCAUCUAUAGAAUCUUUGGUCCACCCUUGCAUAAUGAAAAAAAAUUGAAGGCUUCGUCACCAACUCCCCAGGUUGUUUUGUUCUCCUAUCUCCUAAAUCUAAAGGAAAGGCAACCCGUUCAUUUUCCAAUCUUAAGGGGCACAGAACGACUCUGGUAUAAAAUAGUCAGUUUCUAUACAAAAAUAACUCCUUUGCACUUGGCAUUCCACAUCUCGAAAUAAAAAGCAUGCAAGGAGGAGAAUAUAAUAGCAUUAAACAAGUUUUAUUAACCAAACUUCAAAGAUGCCAGACAAGGCAAAAAAGGAAUCUGUACAAGCCAGAUCCCAAGAAUAAUAAUUCCAAUAUACAAUUCACGAAAACAAUAACUAAAACCAUGUUCAUCAGGCCUCAGCAGAAGCAACAUGUAAUAGCCAUACUCUAUUAUUUGAAACACAUUUCCAAGUUUGGAAAAGAUUCUAAACUAUUCUCGAUCUGUCAAUUAUUAACAUGUAAAACAUAAUAAUAUACGCUUAAACUACUACAGUAGUAAAACCAGUAAAACAACAAUACCUGCUAAAAAGAUUUGCUACCUCUUCACAUUCGCGAGCAUUGUAGAACCAAAUCCCAUUUACUUCUUGGGAUGCAUUUCGAUAUAACAAAUACGGAACCUGAACUUCAAACUCAAAAUCUCCCAAAAGAUUUUUCACUAAAUUAUCUGCACAUAUCCAAGAUAUUGAAGCUUCUCAGUGCAAAAACAUAUGCAAAAAGACAUGAAGGUUAGGAGACAUAACUAAAACUUAGCAACAACUGAUAAGCACAACAAGAAAUGAAAUAUAACACGAGUUGUAAACAAGAUAGACGCACGGUAUCUAAAUAAUUGUACCAACCCCCUCUCCUGAUUGUCAUAAAACGGCCAAUAUUUAACGCUAGACAACAACAUGGCAAAUACUCUAGCCUCUAUAUUAUUGGCAUAUAAAUAUUUUCGGUUGGGUACAUUAUAUUCUUCGUUCUAAAACCUCAAUCAUUAGCUAGUACUGUGAUAAAAUGAUUCAUCACUGAAAUUAAAACUAGUUCACGUACAAAUAAUCAAAACUGAAAUAGAAACAAGGACAAACCAACCCGUAUUACGUCGAUUCAUUACAACAAACUGAAAUCGAGGCUGUGUGUUCCUGAAAAUUGAAAAAAUAAUAAUUUCACCAACUUCAUAUGUAAUACAAUCUCCAAAACAACGAAUAUCAAAUGAAAAAAUGGAAAGCAUAAGAGAGAAAAGAAUCUAAUUUUAUUGACCUUUUGACGACGAAGAGAGAUCCUUCAACAUCCUUAUGACUCCAUUGGCUGAGGUCGAUGUUGAACUCGUAGAAGGUGACAUGAGCGGCCGUGAUGAGGAUCUCCUCAAUGAAUGGAUCGAUUCGCUGAAGAACUGUCAGGUUUAGGAGUUUUGUGCUCUGCUGGUCCAGAUUAGCCAUUAAUUUUCCGUUCUGCGACAUUUUUCAUAGUCCUUUUGGGCUCUGCCCCGAGCACAAGCGCCAUGGUUUUUCUGUGAGCUCUCUCUUUUGUAAAUAAAGUGUUUGAUGAGAUAGCCGAGAGAGAGUGAAAGAGUUGAGACUCGAGAUUGAUCUUGCUUUAACUUCUUUCAAACAUUUGGGAAAUAGCAUUUAGACCCCAAAAUUAGAUUUAUUAUAAUCAUUUUUUACCCGUACACUAUUAAUCCCUUUUAUUUUUUAAAUUGUCAAUAUUAAUGUAUUAGAAUAAUGUUAGAAAUCCCAAUUAUUAUCUCAAUGUUUCAAUCAUAACUAAUGUGAUAACUCAUCGGUGACUGUAACAUUAACCUAAUUAUUAAUGUUUAUCAUGAAAUGAUGAGAUUAUUAUUCAAGAAAAACUUAGUAAACAUCAAUGACUAAUAUAAUAUGACAAUUACAGCUGAAUAUUAGUACAAUAAUUAGGAUCCCUAAAGUUAGUGAAUGUAUUAUAAUAUAUGUGUGUUACACUAUUUUAUGUCUCUCAAAUUCAAUUAAGUAAUUUCAGAGACCUAACCUUUUAUUACAUUAAAUUAAGAAUGUAUACAUGAACAAAAGAUGUGCAGUUUUUGUUUUAUUUUUCACUAUUAUUUGCCAUUCAUCUACGUACGUCACUUGAUUUUUUGCGAUUAAUAUGCUUAAAUGGAUCUCUUUGAUAUAAAUAAAAUAAACGAAAAGUCUAAGAGAAAAAAAAAAUGAGGACCGAAAUUAUUACACCUACAACAAAUUUGCCCAGAGAGCAAUAAAUCAAACUUGCUUAGGAAGUUCAACAAUGAUUAGUUAAUAACUAAAAGAGCCUUCACCUAACAUGUUAAAGCUUCCGUCAAGCACAAACCCAUUGAAAGCUGUUUAGGUCCGUUUUCGAUCAUCGGAAAUUUGACAAAAUCAUAAAAACCCUCAUCUUAGAAAUUCCAAGCAUCAGGCAAUAGUCCGACUUUAUUGAUAUUGAGAGUAACACAAUAAAAGUUUCGUACAGAUUUUGCAAACGAAAAGCACAUAAUACACUUAACUAGGUGGAAAAAUUAAAGUGUAUGUAUUACAAACUGCUAACAAUAUACAAUAGUAAAAAUCACUCUUAUGAACUCACAAAUACUAGGCACCAAUAAGAGUAUGAUACAGCCAUUCUAAAUGAAAGAGAAUACAACUGUUUUACAACUAUGUCACAUCAAGAGAUAUGUUAGCAGGAUUAAUCCAGAUACCUAGGGAUGGCAACUGGAUCGCUCUAUAAUGGAUAUCCACAAUAUCCAUCCAAUUGGAUCGGAUAAUAUCCAUCCAAAAAUUUUUAGAUUUUGAAAUGGAUAUUUUAAAAUUAUAUCCAAAUGGAUAUGGAUGGAUAUAGAUAAUUAUUUUUACCCAAUGGAUAUCUAUUUAACCCAACACAAGUUUAAAAAAUUUUAAUUUUAUAAAAUAAAAAAUAAAAAAUAUAAUAAACAAACAAUUGUAAAAAUAUUAUAUUAACUAGUGAAAAUUUUAAAUUCAUCUUAUAUUAAAAACUAAAGUUUUCAAAAUUAUCCUUUAAUUUUUUAACUUAUUUAAUAUUAUUAAAAAUUAUUAUUUUAUUUUAUUAAUUUAAUAUUAUAAAUGGACAUCCACCGGAAAGUCACCGGACCUCCUCCGGAAUUCACCGGAAAGUUGCCGGACCACCGUCGACUUCGCCGGAAUUCGCUGGAAAGUUGCCGGACCACCGCCACCAACCACCAGACCGCCAUUUUAUAUAUAUAUAUAUAUAUAUAUAUAUAUAUAUAUAUAUAUAUAUAUAUAUAUAUUAUUACUAAUAUAAAUAGUUUAAUAACCAAAUUUAAUAUUGGAAUUUUAAUUAUUUUAUAUUAUUAUUUUUAUAUAAUAAAAAUAAAAUAUCCAUAGAUAUUCAUGGGUCUCCAUAGUUAUAUGGAUAAAAUCUAUAUCCAUGUCCAAUAUUAAAUACUGGAUAUGGAUAUAGAUAUAUCCAUUAUCGAUAAUUAUGGAUUUGUGUUUGGAUGGAUAAUAUCCAUCCAUAAUUGAAUAUUUGCCAUCCCUACAUAUACCUUUGAACCCAAUUAACCAACUCGAGUCAGAAACCAGGGGCCCCCAACUGAACCUUACAAUCUUGAAGGAAGAAGGAGACUUGUGGUCCAGAUAGGAGACUUACUAGAUCUCCUGCAAAAGAGAAUAUCUAUUGCUUUGAACCUCCAUUGAAAUUUCUUUUUCUCUUUUUCUUGUUUUAACUUGGAACUUUCCAGCAUCAUCUAUUUGAUCUUUUUUGAAGGUAAAAUAGCAAUCUAUAGGUUGCCAACAUGUUAUUCUGCCAAACCCCACCCCCCGGGGGACAACAAAUAGUGCCUACUCAACUUAUGUUUUCCAAUGGACGACAAUAUGCAAAUCGACCCAGUAGCCACAUUUUUCCUCCCUUUCAACCACCGUUAGGCAACUUUUCUAACCUUCCUUCAUUGCCCACACGUACAGAACUAUAAUAAAAAGACUACAUUAUUAUUGGGGUAGAGAAAAUAUGCAGACUAUAUUAUUAUUACAUCACAUUUUACUAAUUAACUAGUGCACGACUUAUUUAGUGUCAAAUCAAGAACUAAUUAGAAAAGACAACUCUUGAUAAUACAGACCUUAACAAGCAAUAGCUAACAACAUCCCAUAUACUCUUAUUUUAGCCUUCACUAUCCUGGUAAAAACACAAAUAAGUCUUGCAAACGAACAUUUAUAAGUAAAUUCAACAUUAAUUAAGAUUAGGUAUCUACUGCACCUUCAAUCAAUGACUGGGUGAAUAGCAUGGUCAACCAUCUAGUUCCUGUAGCCUUCCAUGUACCUAUGUUAGUUACAUUUUAUAUAUUAAGCCAUGAAAAUGAAGAACUCUUCCAUUUCAAACAGUGUUAGAAGAUAUUUGCAAAGCCUAAAGAUAACAUACGAGGACCAAGAUAUACACAGAUAGUUUCUUUACGGGACUAAAGAGCUUUUUUAGAUGUUAAAACUGUUUCAAACUCUUUUUCUUGUUUGGUUUAACUAAGGAAGAGCUUGUGGAAGAUUAAAAAUGAUGUUUCCUGUUCUCUGUAGGAAGCUUUUAGGAGAUUUUUUGGGUUUUUUUGAAAGGUUGAAUUGUCAAAAAUACCUUGAUGUUAUUGUUUGCUAAAAGAUGUUAUGGACAACUAAACAACCAACAACAUUUUGUUAAAAGCUCUACUAGUGUAGGAUCUACUUAAAGAAGCUAUACCAAACAGAUUCUUAGACUAAAUAACUCGAUCUUAAGUUUGUAAAAUUGGGCUCAGAAUCUCCACUAACAACCCCGCUUCGGUGAGAAAGCCCAAGCCUGUUACUUUGUAUAACCUUAUUCUGUAUGUUUGAUUGCAGGAACUGGCCGAUCAUACCGACGAGGUGAGUGUGCAACAUGAGGUGCUUGACGGGAUGUUUACUUUCUAUGAUACAACUAAAGCUAGCCUCAACAUAUAUCAGGUGCCUGCUUGUUUUUACCUUCUAGAUACUAAUAUUGUUUAGACGUGUAAUCUCUCUCUCCAUUGAACGCUAGACGGCUCGUCUCAAGCCUUCUACGUACAUCAGAGUCCUUCUUUAGCUUUUUAUGUAUAAAGUUUUGAUCUUUUUCCUUCAUUUGCUUGAAGCUCAUUACUGCAGAUUUUUUUUACAGGUUGCUAGUGUAACAUUCGACUUGCUGUUGCUUCUAGUGUUGGGAUCGUAUUUAAUUGUGCUUUUCAGCUUUCUUGUCACAACAACUUGGGUAUUACUCUUUCUCCAUAUCAAGCUUGAAGUUCUAAAUUUCAGUUUUAUCUUUUAUUUGAUGUUUUAUAAUUUCAUUGCAAACAGAUUAGAAUAGAAACUUCAAAAGUUCCAACUGACUAGUCCCGUGUAACUUUUUCAGGGAAUAUUUUCUCUCAUAACAACUACGAAUGUGUUAUGGUUUAGCUCAGUGACACAAAGGAUAGAAAAUCUAAGAUGCGAAAAAUUUUUGUUGAGAUUCAUUUUUCAUCCUGAUGUUACAGCUGGCCUUUUUUUUUUUUUUUGGCAGAGAAUAAUGCUUGUGUGAUUUCUGAACUUGGUGAUUGUUGAAAUGAGCUGAAAAUGAGCUGGAAAUGUGUUUGGUUAAUGAGAAAGAGAGCAAGAAAAUGAAAGAAAUCUAUUUCACUUUUUAUUUAUCAGCAUGAUUACAUUCACAAUAAAUCUAAGCUGCUAUUUAUACUUAAAUGAAUACACACGAGAAUCUUCUUGCUAGAUACUUCUAGAAACUCUACACGCACACUCACAUUGAGCUAGUGGUUACUAAAACCGUUACAACGAUAUUGCCAGCUCAGCAUAACCAACUUAUAACUAACACACUCAGCUGCAGGGGAAACCAUCAAGCUUACUGUGCAUCCUCUGUACUCAAGCUUCUUUAAGCAUGCUCUGCAGAUCAUACUCAAGCUUUUUUUUUCAUAGAAGUUGCAAUCUUUACGUUAUAUACUAGUUUGACUAGGCUAUAUAAGGAAGCUAUAUGAAAUUAGAAAAAUAAGCUAUACUAGGAAAGAAUAAAUAUAUGUACAGAAAAUUAGGCUAUAAUCUCUGACUUUAAACAAAUUUAAUAUCAAUUUUCUUCUGGAAGUUGUCUCGCAUGGGGCGCAUCAGUAUUGUAACGUCUGAUGGGUCUUACAUUAUCCACAAAAAUAACUCGUCCAUCUAGUACCUGCAAGUACAUACUCUGAGAUGCUUAAACUCAACAAUAUAAGCAUGGAAAAUUAGAGAAAAAUGAUGCAAUUUUACCUUCCCAUUCAUGUCUGCCGAGGCUUUUUGGGCUUCCUCUUCUGUACUGAAAGUCACAUAUCCGUAACCUUUUGAUCUAUUCUUACCUUUAUCCAUUAUUAUUGUAGCUGCAAACAGAAAAGAAUCGGAUAUUACAAAAUAGUGAAGAGGGAAGAGGGGUUGAGACUUAAAACAGAAAUAGACCAAACCCUCAGUGACGUGGCCAAAUUGUGAAAAAGCAUCAGCUAACAUUUCUUUAGUGGUUGAGAAAGAUACGCCUGCAAAGGAUGCCAGUUAAUUUUAUCAUAAUUUUAGAUGGUAAGAUUGCAAAUUCUGCAGCCAAAGGUAGUACGGAACUGAAUGAAGGAAAUCAAAUAUGAAUAUGUUUUCAAUCUCAGAAUAUUAAGAGUAGCAUAAGUAACUUGUGAAACAGUUACAAGUUCAACGGAAUUAACUGAUGGCAUGGUUGAAUUUUGUAAAUAUUUGAUAUUUUGAACCGAACACGGCAAACAGAUGGAUCCAGAUAAUCAAGAAAAACAUCAAUUCCAUGCAACCAAAUUAGUGUGGGCAAUGCAAUUGAGCAACACUAUAAAAUUAUUCAAAGAAAUCUCUAGGUCAGUAUCCAAAUAUAUUUCUGAAAAUGUUUUUUUCUCAUUAGCGCCGCCAUUUUUGUAAUAGAGGGUAAAGAAAUAAGUAACAAAGUAAGAGGUGAGCAGAAGCGGCCCAAUUUAGCUAUAUGCCAUGCAUGCGAUCAAAAUUGAACGGUUAAAUGGCAGCCACUAUGUUACAUCUUGUGUAAGUAACAAACCGCCUACAUGGAUCGUUGGAUUUGGGAAUAUGAAAUCCAAUGGAUAAUAUUGAAUUUAACGAAAAAUAGAUUACAGGUUGCAUUAGUCCAAGUUUAUUUCAAACAAACCAGCUGACGAAAUAGCCGCUAAUCAAAUUUAAAAGGGAAAAAAAAAUCAAAUUAUAGGUUAUAGAUCUUAUUUCCAUCUUAAAUCUAUGUCUUUCGUGGUGACUCAAUUUGUAAACUAAUUUAUAAUUUGGAUCUAUAUUAGAGCUAAUGCUUCCCUAAAUAACUAAGAAAAUUUUCUUUUCAUUGAUUAAAUAUUUAUUUCCAAUAUCUUGUAUAUGUAGGAUUUGAAAAGAGGGAAAAUAGUAGGGAUGAUAAUGAGAGAAGAUAGAGAUGUCGAUUCUCAAAUCUAAUAUUAGUGCUAUACUUAUAUUCCUAUACUAAAUAAAUUAUCCAAGGUUCGUGCUUAACGAUACGUUGCAAAAUUUUAAUUUCUAUUUAAAGCUCUGUCUAAUAUGGCUUUUCAUAAAGCUUAGAGAAAAGUAGAGCUUUUACCAAAAAAAAAUUAAUUAGAAUUGUCAAUGAUAAAUUUUAAAAAGUACUUUAAUAAAUAAGCUUUUAAAGUUAUAUAUAUUAUGAAAGAAAUGAAAUAAGAUUAUAUAAUAAAUUAAGAGUAUCUUAGAUAAUUGAACUUUAAAAAAAAAACUCGCUAAGAGGUUUAAAAUUUGAGUUUUAAUAGUGGAUACAAAAUAGUUUAUUUAAUUCUCAAAAGCUCUACUCAAAAUAGUUUAUUUAAUUCUCAAAAAAUAUUUUUUUCAUUGAGUAAAUAAUACUAAACAUGCACUAAAGUGUUAGGACCAGAAGUUGUACAAAAAAUGAUGGCUACAACUUAAAUUAUGAAUGGAGUAAUCGGAGAAUAUUGAAACCCGUUUAAUUUGGAUCGUGCAUUGAGGGACGAAAGGAUAAAAAAUUUAAUUUUGAAAUUGCUGUUGGGUACGGUACAAUGACUUACCGUUGACAGCUUUUGCAACCGGAUUACAAUCGGUUAGUUCAAUAAUUUUAUAUCCCCAUUUAACCGCCACGUGCUGCUGUUACAUGGGUCAAUUAGUCAUGUCAUUACUGUUACUUACAGAUGCCGUAACAUAACCGGACCCUGGUUAAAUUCUGUUGUUUCCAAUAAUUUUAUGCUGUAUCUUCUUUAAUAAUAAAGAAAACUUGCAUUAAAAUUAAAAUUAGGGUAAUACCUGAUUUUAUAAAUAGAUUGCAAUGUAAUUUUGAAAAAUAAAACAAUAAUUUACAAAAUGUUUAUAACAUAAUUUUAAUUUUUUUUCAAAAAGGAAAAAGAACAAAAGUAAGAAAUAGAGAAUUAGGGCUACAAACUUUGUAUCUUAAACGGCCGUUAGAUUAUUUGUAAAUGAAAGCAACGGUCAGAUAUUGGUGGAUUAUGGAAACAUGUAAUCAUAAGGACUGUGAGUUUUUUUUGUUACAUUAAUAUAUUACAAUCAAAUUCUAUUAGUAUUUACAACUAGAAUUUCAUUUGACUAUCUUUGAUAAUUCUAAACUAGUACAACCCAAAUUCUUAUUCUCACAUAAUAUCAAAGAGAGAUAUAUAUUCUUCUCCUCUAUUAAUAAAGAGACAUUUUUAUUUCCUUUUAAUAGUUAGGACUCAGAACUCAUACACGCUAGUUUGAGAGUGUUGGGUGUGACAAUGAGCCAGGAGACCAUUGACAAGUACAAAAGAGUGGUAGAAAUUAAUUCAAUCCGCUACACACGCUAUUGCAACCAAAUUGAGGGCCCAUUUUUGUUUAUUUGGUUGAAAAAUAGUUUGCAUAAUUAAUUCAAACCGCUACACACGCUAUUGCAACCAAAUUGAGGGCCCAUUUUUGUUUAUUUCGUUGAAAAGCAGUUUGCACAAUUAAUUCAAACCGCUACACACGCUAUUGCAUCUUUUGAAAAAGAAAAACAGAAUAGUUUUCUAAAAUUAAUUCCGAGAAGAAGAUUAACUAAUAAUGAUGUUAGAAAUUUUAAUAUUUGAGUCUUAAUAUUAUGUAUCACUCAUUUAUUAAAUAAUAGAUUUCAUAAUUUAUAAAAUUACUUAACCACUUGAUAAAUGUUAUAUUUGUUGGGACUAAAUUGGGACUUAAAUGUUGGAAUAUCUAGUAUUGCAUUAAAAAAUAAAUAAAAACAUAACAAUUUAUCUUCACUUGACUAAUUGUUUUUACAUCACAACUAACCUUAAUUAUUUUGAAAGUUACAGUAUUAUUAAAUUGUCCUAACUGGUUAUCAAAAGUUGAAGCAUGUUAAAAUAAAAAAAAUUACCAAGAAACAUGUGCUUAAACAGAGGUUAAGGCUAUGAACAAUUAAGAAGAAACUCUUAAUUUGGUCCCAGUUAGUAUAAUAAUCAUCUAUUGAGCGGUAAAAUAUUAAUUUUAAUAGUGAUGAAAUCCAAUAUAUAAUAGAUUAAUAACACACAUAAAUUAAAACUUAACUGUCAGAAAUCAUAACAUUACUCUACUCUUCAGUAGAGUUCUCUUAACAGAUUAUGUGAGAUUGCCUACAUUAAAAAUAGGUUAAGACUGCUUGUUGAAAGCAAUAUUCGCUUUUUCAUUAUAUCCAUAACUUUGUUGGGUCCCUCUAUGGUGCCGUAAUUUUUUUUACGGUAUUAAUAGUGUAACAAAUUUGUACCAUUAGAUAUAAUCAACGGUACACAUUAUUUUUAAUAAUGAAAAUAUUUAAUUAUUUCACAAAUGUUAUAACCGGUUAACAAACCGGUUGCAAAACCUAUUUUAAAUUUAAAAGGAAAGAAAAUAGAGAUAUAAUAAAACUCAAUCUCCUUCUUUAUCUCAUAAAAUUCGUAAUCUGUUUAUCUCCUUUGUUGUUGUAUUGAAAUUGGAUUCCUCAAUGCUGUCUCAGUUCACAAAUGAUUAAUCGUGUCAAAUCGUAAGCUUGUUCUUAUCGUUCAACUUUUUCUCCAUUUAUUGCCACAUUUAUUUGAUAGGUAGGCUUUUAAAUUUAUUGCUCGAUGGUGACAUUAGACAAGGAAUCACAGAUUUGAUGUUCUUUGUUGUACUAAAUUCAUAUCAAAUCUUGCUUUGAUGCUAUAAUAUAUUUAGUUACUACCUUACAUUUUCUUUUUUCACAUUUGAAAACAAAUUCUUUUUAUUCAUAGGAUUACAUAAAGUGCGCAGCCCUGAAGUUUGAACUUCAAAGGAUAAAGUUGCAUUGCAGCAUGUUAAGCAGCAAAGCUUCUUCACUGCAUUAGAUAGAAGACGGUGAAUCAAGUGCAGCCAAGACUUGGCUGAGUCAGCAAUUAACCACCAAUCGUUUAAGAAAGAGGGGCAAAGCAAGUUGAGGCCCACUUAUUAAUCUUAGCCUCUGAUUCCAUUCUCCUUUUCUCCGUCCUGAUUUGAUUAUCUCCAGCAGUGACGCUAAAGGUUAAACUGGCAUGAUCUUGCCCACAUAUAAAUGUAUUUUUUUUUUUUAGGAUCUGAAGGGGCAAAUUUUUUUUUCAAGUUUGUUAUAUGAUCUUUUGUGAAGACCUGAAGAUACGAGAGUCAGAUUAAUAAUUUUGUCUCUCUUAGGCUUUAUGCAGUGGGAAUGAACUUUCUCUCUUUUAAUUCUCUGCCAUUUUCUCAAUGAAGGCAGCAAGAGAAUAUUCAGUCUUUCAAAGUCUCAACAUUCAUAAUUUGGCCAGUCUAGUUGUUUACCUUGCAUCUGCUGGAGUAUUAUAUCGCCAAGAGAUUUUUCCGUUGCACUUUACGAAUUUAUAUUAUUUUGAGGAGGGAAUUCAGCUAACUAUUAAUAUCAUACAAUUGAAAUUUAAAUGUCGGUCUUUAAAUUCUAAAGAUUAAAGACAAGCCUAAUAUGAAAAUACAGAUGUUAAAAUCUUCAUUUUUGUUUAUUGAUACUUUAUUUGUUAGUAUCAUAAUUUUAGAGAUAUAUUUGAUGUUACAUGAUUGACUAAAUAUUAACAUUAAAAUGCAGAUGGAAAGAAAAAAUGAUGGAGGGCUCCAUAAAAGCAUAAAAAGAAACGGAGAUGGUGAAGCAAACUUUCGAAAUUGCAACCAUGAGAAGGAAUUGACAAAGCUUAAUGAAAAAAUGGAUGGGAUGACAUUUAAUCUUGUCGCUGUCAGGCAUGAACUUGGUGAGCUGAAGAGGAACAAUUUAGAUACUUAUGCAUUGGUACAAAAAAUGUAUAGUGUAGUUGAAGCACUUGAACGUAAUAUAACUCAUAUGCAAUCACACGCAUGGAAGGAAAAGAUGAACUCUUCUAGUAAAGAUGUUCAAAAUAGUAAAAAUGAAUCAAGUGGUCAAAAUUUCGUGGAAAAGGGAGAUGAGUUUGGGGUGAAGAUCGCAGAGAUUAAGGACAAGAUUGAAGACGCAUGUGAUGAAAAUUUAUCAUUGAAAAACUUAUUUGUGUAUAGGAAACAAAAAGAGAACCAAAUCUUCCACAAUGUUGUUAAAAAGGUAUGAUAAUAAACUAUUAUUCUACAUUUUUUUUUCAAAAAUAUUUGUAUAGCACAUUCAUUAAACAAAAAAAUAAUAAUAAUAAAAUUCAUGUUCUUAUGCAUGUAGGAUAAAGCCAUGGAUGCAGUUGAUUUUGUGGAUUUGGUAUCAUCGGUGGAAGUAGAUGCAAUUGAGGAUAAAAAGGUGCGUCCUCGAAAGCCCAGUCGUUAUAAAAAAUCUCCUUAUGAAAAUUUUACAAAAAAAAAAGGCUAUCGCAAGAAGGAGUUCGAUUUAUCCAAACAUGGAGCUUCUUUUUCGGAGGAAGAAUGGUAUAUUUUACAGUAUAUUUUUCAUGAACAACUAGAUAAAAGGUAUGGAACUAUUUAAAUAUAAUCAUAUUUUAUAUGUUUGUAUUUUGAUGUUAUUAUUUGUUUUAAUUAACUAUUAAUGUGAGUGUAUAACUUAUGCAGAGAGAAAAUUGUAAUGACAAAACGACAUAUUGUUACCCGCUUCUUAAUGUCUUCUUUAGCUCCUAAUGUUUGGAUAUUUGAUGAGGUAUAUUGUGUUAGUGUGUGUGUCUAAUAUUCAGAGCGUAAUAAGAUUAUAUGUAUUUAAUUUAUAAUUUAUUUUUCAUUUGGUAGUGCAUGUUUUAAUAAUAAUGUUGUGAUGAUUUUAUUCAUAGAUCAUAAGUUGCUAUGCUGAGUAUUUAACUAGAAAGGAGAGUUUGAAGCAAGAUAAUGAGACUCGAAAUUGGUUUUUACCAACUCUUUUUGGGGUAUGUUAUAAAUUUUUGUUGUUACAAAUAUAUAAUAUGCUUUUACAAAAAAAUUAGAAUUUUUUUAAAAUUAUAUCUUACCAUCUUCAUAUAAUUAUUAAUUUAUGAAUGUUGUAGCAAAUAGUGGCGAAUGUGUCAGGUGUUUCAACUAUUGAUAGAUCAGAGAUUGAAAUUUCGGUUCGUAAACAUAACAUUUGUGAAUUUUACAUGGGUGCACUCAAAAGAUGUGAAAAGGUCAGGAAUAUUAUCAUAUGUUCAAAAAACAAAAAAAUUUAUUUACUCAAAUAUCAUAUGUUUUAUUAUUAUCAUUUGAAGGGAGUAAUGAUUAAUACAAAAUUAGUGUAUUGUUGCACAGAUAUAUGUUCCUCUUUAUGACGGGCUUGCAAAACAUUGGUAUCUUGUAAUAAUGAAUAUAAAAGAUAAGACUGCUGAGAUUUGGGAUUCUUUGCCUAAUUCUGAAAUAGAACCAAAUCAUCGUCAAGAAAUCGUUAAGCAAAAUGUAAGUUCAAAUUUUUUAUUUGUUUAUAUGAAAUUACUAGAUGCAAUAUAUAUUAACUAUCAUUAUUAUUAUGCAGUACAUGCAUUGGNNNNNNNNNNNNNNNNNNNNNNNNNNNNNNNNNNNNNNNNNNNNNNNNNNNNNNNNNNNNNNNNNNNNNNNNNNNNNNNNNNNNNNNNNNNNNNNNNNNNCCUAGUCUUGCUUCGUGAUAUAGCCUUUAACUUUCCUUCUGAUUGGGUAUUUCGUUGACUUUGACAUUUUAUAUCCAAAUAAUGUGCCAAUUCAACCAAAUGGAAAUGAUUGUGGCUUGUAUGUGAUGAAGUUUAUGGAGACUCCAUGUGAGAUGUUAUUCCCAACUUAUAAGGUAACUUAAUCAUACAAUUUAUAUUUCUUAGUUUGCACAAUACUUUAAUCAAUAUUAAAUUGUUAUUAAUUCUAUUAUAUGCAGUAUGAAUCGGAUGAAGAAAGAUUUCGUCUUGCGCUACUCCUUGUAAAUGGUGAUGCAAAUGAAGUAAGAGAUAGUGUUAUACAAAAAGCACUAUCAUUCCGUGGUCCUAAGACGAAUGUUAUUGCAACUAGUAAAGUUAGAACUAAAGUUGCUUCUCAAAAAAAACAUCGUUCAAUUAAUAAAGUUAGAACUGUAAUUGGUACUGGAGAAUAUUUGAAGAAACCAGGAAGAAAAUCCAAUUGAUCUGCCUAGUAGAGGUUUAAUAAAUUUGGUAUUGGACGUAAUUUGUAUUUUGUCACUUUUAAUUUUUUUGUCCCCUCAAUUGAAUUUUAUAUUCAAUGUAAAGUUUUUAUUUGGAUUACUUAAUUUUCUUUUUUAGUUUUUAAGUUUUUGGAUUACUCUUUAUGAAAAUUUUGUGUCUUGUUACUUUCAAUUUUUUUUGUCCCCUUUAAUUGACCUUUGUAUUCGAUGUAAAGUUUUUAUUUGGAUUACUCAUUAAGUUUUGUUAGCUUUUGAGUUUAUGGUCUCUUCCAAUUAAAAACUUUCAAAAAAUAAUAGCCUGCUUUUUUUUUUUUUGUGUGUGUUUUAAGUUCAGCCUACAAGUGAAUGACUGUAAGUCGUUAACUAAAAAUCUAAAAAUGUCAAAUGUCAAAUAUUCUUCCGCUUCUCAUCACCUUCUUUUCCAACCUAUAAUAUGCCAAACAAAAAUGCAUCAAUAAAAAUAAAUUUAGAUAACAGCUAAAAUAUUCAACCUUUGUAAGAAUUAUCCUAAUAUAAAUAUACCUCAUUAAGUACUGGACAUUUGCGUCUAUUGUGUCCAGGUAAUUUGCAAUACCCACAUUUUUUCAAAUUGACGCCUUUAUUAAAUCUUGCACUAGGAGCACCUUUCGUCUUCACACUUAAUGGAUCUUUUAUAAUAGCAACAUUUCUCUUCUCACUGGACCAUCUACCUCUUUUCUCUUCAAAAUUCCCACUCAACUCUAACAUUUCAGACUUAAGUUGUGUGAUAAGACCCUUUAAUUUCAAGUAUCCAGCAUCUGUCAUCGAGGCAUAGAAAAAUGUGUCUAGUUACAGAAGAAAUUUACAGAAUCAAAUUUUGACUUCGCUUCUUAAAGAUAUUCACGAUUUAGUGCACAAAGGUCACAACCGUCUAGAAACCACACAAGAUCCGAUGUUUCUGAAUUAACUGAUAUCAAUUAACAAGGAAUAAAAUUAAAAACUAUAUAUCUAUAGAAAGAUUUAUUUUUCAGGAGUUCAAAUAAUUUUACGGUUUUCUAUUUGAAGUUUUCUACAUGAAGAUAUGGCUUAAAGAAUGCUGACUGCUCAAAAUCACUGAAGCAACCAAGUCUAUGAUUAUCAGAAAACUUGCAUGAUUAAACUGUACUGAUCUAGAAUAUAUGAGAUUGCAUACUAUAUAUUUUUUGAUAGAUAAAUAUGUCUAGUUACAGAAGAAAUUUACAGAAUCAAUUUUCGACUUCGCUUCUUAAAGAUAUUCACGAUUUAGUGCACAAAGGUCACAACCGUCUAGAAACCACACAAGAUCCGAUGUUUCUGAAUUAACUGAUAUCAAUUAACAAGGAAUAAAAUUACAAACUAUAUAUCUAUAGAAAGAUUUAUUUUUCAGGAGUUCAAAUAAUUUUACGGUUUUCUAUUUGAAGUUGUCUACAUGAUGGCUGAUGUGUUUCAGCAGAUAUUACAAGAGGAAAUAUAUCUUCUCCCAGUGAUGGUUUUGAGAGAUCGUCCAACUCAUAGAAGCCUAAGUCGAUGCCUGUUCCCGAAGGCUGACGAAACUUCUGACCCAAUCCUUUCUUAAAGGGAAUUUUUGCCGGCAUAUAAGCUUCAGGAAACAGUGGAACAAACUUACAGUUGGGCUCUUCCUUGGCAAAGUAGAAAACAGUGAUGCUGCAGAUAAGAAAAGAAAAUAAAGAGAUAUGGCUUAAAGAAUGCUGACUGCUCAGAAUCACCAAAGCAACCAAGCCUCUGAUUAUCAGCCAAAUUCCAUGAUUUAACUGUAUUGAUCUAGAAUAUAUGACAUUACAUAAUAUAUAUGUUUGGAUAGAUGAAUGUAUCUAGUUGUGGAAGAAAUUUACAGAAUCAAGAUAGACUAAUAAUAACUUAAUAUUAACAAAAUUUUUAUUGUACAUGUUAUUUUAUCAAUUAUAUUUAUUGUAACACUUUAUUUGUAUCAUAUGAUUUUUAUUUGUUAUUUUUAUCCUAUUACUAUAUUUAUAUUUAUUUAGAUUGAUUUAGUCAAAAGGUAUAAUAGUCAUUUAGGAAAUUAAGAGGGUCUAUGUGACUAUUUAUGAAACUAAAGGAACAUGUAUAAUUAUUUUAGCAAAUCUUAGGGGUGUGGGUGGUUUUUUCCGAAAUUAAUAUUGAUUUAAAAUUAAAAAAUUAAUAUUUACCUGUAACCUGUAAGUUACCUGCUCUAUUUUAAUUAAUUAUCUAAUUAUCUAUUAUAUUAAAUGAAUGAUUCAGAUUAAAACUCUUAUAUCUAAGGGUCCACAUUAGUUCCACUAUCAAUACUGUAAAAAUAAAUACAGCAUCAUAAAGAAAUCCAACUUUGAAUUGAUAAAGUUGUAUUCAACAGCUCUUGAAAAGACUAAGCUGGUCUUCUUUGCAUUUGAUCACUGGUAUUUCAGUUAAGUUUGUCGUUUACUUAAAUUUUUCUUGCUUUCAAUUUCCACUGUUGUUUUUUUUUUAAUAAAAUAAUUUGUUUAACUAGUCAUAGAAAUAAGAGAGAAAAUGGGCCAUUUCUUGACUCAAAGUCAAUUAUAAUUAUCAAAACUUGAGCGGACAUUGCAUGCCUAAAUUCCACGCACCCUAAAACGGUUUGAUUUGCUUUCACGCGUUCAUGAUUUUGCAUGAAAGAGAGUGCCUCUCGUCUCUUUCCGGACAGUGACUACAGUCAUGGAAAAAUUAUGUUAACGUGACGAAUACAAAACGUUAUUACAUACAAGAAUAAGUUUUUGGACCCGAGACUUGAGGGAGGUUCUAUCUAAUUCUAAAGAUUGUAACCAAAGCAUUAUCCCCAAUUUUUUUAAGUUAAAUAAAAUAAAAUUUAUGCUUAAGUAUAAAUAAUUUUUUAAAGUUAAAUAUAAAAUAAAAUUCAUGAACUUCCAAGAAAGAAAGAAGACCCUUCACCUUCUUCGUGACAACAAAUGAUGUUGAUAUGACAAAUACAAGCGCUAGUACAGGGAACAGCAUAAGACCGAGACUUGAUAAAUAUUAAAUAUAUAAAAUAAGUGGAGCAAACGAACAGAAUAAUAGAUUUUUAUAAUAUUCUUCAUAAAAAUCCAAGUUUUGAGCUGGCCCAUAAGCUUAUCUAGUGAAGUCUGGGUAUCCGCGUUGCCCAAGGUUCCGUUUGAAUUCAGGCUGUGCUGAUAUUUAUGACAUCCGACGGAGAGGAAAUAUUUUCAGUUGACUAAAUUAAAUAAAAGUAUAUUAUAAUCAUAUUAUAUAUUAGCAACAAAAAUAAAAAGAAAUGAAGAAAAACGCAUGCAAGACUUAGAGAAGUCAAUUAAAAGAUGGGAGUAUCAUCAGUUCAAUUGGUUAUAAAUAGCGUAGAGCCAUCCUCUCGUUGUUGCAGAAGAGAGACAGAAAGAGUGUGUGUAGGUGAUUAUAAUUAAGAAGAUAUAAUGUGUGGUUCAAAAAGAGUGUGGGUGAGUGAGUUAAUACUCAUAUUAUUAGUAGUAAAAGGGUGGUGGAGUGAGGGAUGUUUGGAGCAAGAGAGGUCUGCUCUCCUCCAACUCAGACAUUUCUUCAAUGAUGAUCAACGUCUUCAAAACUGGGUAGACGAUGAGAAUAAUUUAGAUUGUUGUCAGUGGGAAGGGAUUGAGUGCAACAACACCACUGGCAGUGUGAUUAAAUUAGAUCUAGCACAAACUCGAAAAUGGGAAUCAGCGAAGUGGUAUAUGAAUGCCUCUCUGUUUACUCCCUUUCAACAAUUAGAGUCUCUUGAUCUAAUUGGGAACAAUAUAGCUGAUUGUGUUAAAAACGAAGGUCAUUAAUUUACUCUAUUUUAAUUCUUCCUCCUCGUAAUUUCUUACAUCUAUCUGAUCCCUUUUGGCUUUUGUUUAAUUUGUACGUGAUACAAUAAAAUUAUUUUUUUUCAGGUUUGGAGAGGUUAUCAAGGUUGAACAACUUGAAGUUUCUUUUUUUAGAUGAUAACUACUUCAACAACAGCAUCUUUUCAUCUCUAGGUGGUCUUUCAUCACUCAGACACUUAUCAUUGGCUGUUAAUAGAUUGAAUGGAAGUGAUGAUAUUAAAGGUAAGUAAGCUUCAUCCCUUCUCCCGUGUCCCAUCUUUGUGGAUCUUAUUUCAUCGACCAGCUGGAAGUAUUGAUACGAGAUCUAGCUAGACUCUUGCUAGUUUAAGCUUCAAGGCUUUGAAUAUUAUAAAAAUAGGUUUAAGGAAUUAUCAAUAUAUGCAAUUUUCUAUGCUUCUCAUAAUCAGACACAAUUCAAUCUAAUUAUUUCGUAUGUCCUCUCUUCAAAAGUAAAGAAUUGUACACUAAACGGAAAUCGACAUUGUAGCUUUUUAUUUUUUCUAAUGCUCUUUCUUUGUUAACGAGUUUAUAUCCUGAGAGUGCAUUGGAUUCAAAAAAAAAAAAGUUUUGAUGUUCAAGGUAAGCCAUAAUAACAUGCAUCUUAUUUAUCUGUCUAUAUCUAAAUUUGUGCACUGAAUUUAGUAUUUUAGUUAGUGUGAAGGGAUCAGAUAUUGGCUUCCAUAAACCAACUUGUAUUUACUUAAUUAAUUAAUUAACACCAUUUAGUAUUUAACAAAUUAAAAUUUCGUGUUUAAUUUGUCUUAUUUUUUAUUUUUUGAAGCAAGAAUAAGGUAUAGCAGUAGGUAAAGUUGAAAUACAUAUUUAUUCCUUACAAAUUUAAAUUCGUUUUCAGCCAAAUAUACCUACUUAAAACCACUCAAUCAUGCCAUUGGCAACAGUUUUUUAGGUUUUUCUAGUUAACCGUGUACUUUUUUGCUUAUUAAUAAAAUUCUUUUGUGCUGAGAUUUAAAAUAAAGAAGGAGAAAAUAAGUUAUUUAAUUAACCUUGUUUUAAGUGUUGGCAUAAAUGCAGGACUGAAUUCCUUGAGUAACUUGGAGGAGCUGGACAUGACAGGCAAUGCAAUCGAAAAUCUUGUGGUUCCUAAAGGUAUACAAAAUGUUCAAAUAUUAAUAAUUUGGAGGACAGUUUAAUUGAUUUGAUUAGGGAAUGCCCAAAUGACACUUACCCAAAAUAAUUUAAUCCAAAAUUGUAUCCCAAACAGAUUUCAUAGGUUUGAGGAAGUUGAAUACCCUUAAUUUAGGGGGAAGCGAAAUUCGAAUGAUAGAUGGAAGCAAGGUGUUGCAAUCAAUAGGAUCACUACCGUCCCUCAAAACACUUUGCCUUUCAUAUACUAAUUUUACGGGAACAGUAGUUAAUCAAGGUAAGUAAAUCUUUUAUGUCGAAAAUAAUUGAAUUAAUAUAUAUAGCUAAAAUUUAUUGUUUCUACUUCUUUCUACAUAGAAUUGCACAAUUUCACCAACUUGGAAGAAUUGAUAUUGGGCAAAUCUGAUCUCCAUGUAAGCCAGCUUCUGCCAAGCAUCGCAUCAUUCACUUCGUUAAAGUAUUUGUCAAUGGGAGGUUGUAUACUCACAGGUGCCGUACAUGGUCAAGGUAAAUUAUGGGUAUCUGAAGCUUUUAAAUUUUUUCUUUUAAAUUUUUUAUAUUUUCACUGUCCAAUGGUUCUACCUUCUCUAAAUUGUAGGAUUCUUGAUUAAGGUUAAUGAAAUUUUUGUUCUGUUAUGUUAAGAAUAUUUCGAUCGCUUAGAAGAGUAAAGAAAAAUAAGUAAAUUAACCCAAAAAAAAAAGAAAAGAACAGGACCGGAUUAUCCUUAUUCCCUUGCAUUAUGUGAUCAAUAUCAAAAUUAUAACCAUUUCUUGUUUAUUGCUUGUAGAUUUUCGUAAAUUCAAGAAUUUGGAAAAUCUGGACAUGAAUCUGGUGUAUGUUGACGUCAACACCAGUUUUCUUCAAAUUGUCGGUGAAUCGAUGCCUUCUCUCAAGUUUUUAUCACUGACAGAUUCAAUUCUUAAUAAAAACACCAUUCUUGAUCAAGGUUAAUUAAUGAUUCUCCUUCUCCCUCUCUCGCAUCAUAACUAAAUUUAAUUGAGAAUAUCUAUAAUGCGAGCUAUUUAUAAACUUAAUGAAAGAUGAUAAGGAGCCAUAAUAAUGACAAAAAUAACUGUAAAAUAGUGCACUGUUGUAGUGUUGAUUGAAAAAUAAUGCUAAUUUUUUACUUAACAUUAUAACGCUGUAUAAUUUUACAGUUAUUUUGUUGCCAUUACGUCAGAUUAUACUGUUCAACUAUCAGUGAUCAAACUUAAUUUUUAAUGUGUACUUGAAAGAUAUGUAAUUAUUUAUCUAUGUGUACUGAAGGAUGAAUUAUAUAUUUUUCAGGACUUUGUCAGUUAGUGCAUCUGCAAGAGUUACACAUCGGCGGUAAUGAUUUGAGAGGUAGCUUGCCAUGGUGCUUGGCAAACAUGACAUCCCUUCAAGUGUUAGAUGCCUCUUCUAAUCAACUUACUGGAAACAUCUCCCCAGGCCUUUGUGAGUUGGUGUUUCUAAGAGAGUUAUCCAUUCAUAACAAUGAUUUAAGAGGUAGCUUGCCUUUGUGCAUGGCAAAUUUGACUUCCCUUCGAGUAUUAGAUGUCUCUUACAAUCAACUUACUGAAAACAUCUCAUCUUCCCUCAUGCAUCUAAUAUCUAUGGAAGAGCUCAUAAUUUCAAAUAAUCACUUCUUCCAAAUCCCUAUUUCACUUGAACCACUUUUCAAUCUCUCAAAACUCAAGACUUUCGAUGGUGAAAUAUGCGCAAAAACUGAGUCACAUUAUAAUUCUUUGACCCCAAAAUUCCAACUGACUUCUAUCUCACUAUCUGGUUACAUAGAUGGUGGCACAUUUCCCAAAUUCUUGUACCAUCAGCAUGACUUGAAGAAUGCUGAUCUCUCACACCUUAACUUGAGUGGAAAAUUUCCAAAUUGGUUGCUAGAAAACAAUACGAACUUAGAGACGCUUCUUCUUGCCAACAACUCUCUUUUUGGAUCAUUUCGGAUGCCAAUUCAUUCCCACCAGAAAUUGGCAAUAUUGAAUGUCUCCAACAAUUUCUUUCAAGGCCAUAUUCCGGUGGAAAUCGGAACAUAUCUGCCAGGUUUAACGGAUUUAAACUUAUCUAGAAAUGCUUUCAACAGUAGCAUUCCCUCUUCAUUUGCUGAUAUGAAAAUGUUGAAAAGGUUGGACAUAUCCUACAAUCAGUUGACUGGUGAAAUCCCUGAGCGCAUGGCCACGGGUUGCUUCUCAUUGGAAAUUCUUGCAUUGUCAAACAACAGUUUGCAAGGUCAUAUAUUCUCUAAAAAAUUUAACUUGACAAAUUUGAUGAGGUUGCAGUUGGAUGGUAAUAAAUUCAUUGGAGAGAUCCCAGAAAGCUUAUCUAAGUGCUAUUUGUUGGCAGGAUUGUAUCUGAGUGAUAAUCAUCUCUCUGGUGAGAUUCCAAGAUGGUUGGGUAAUUUGUCAAUUUUAGAAGAUAUUAUAAUGCCCAAUAACAAUCUGGAAGGACCAAUUCCAAUCGAGUUCUGUCAGCUUUAUUUUCUGACGAUUUUAGACCUUUCAAACAAUGCUAUUUUUGGAACCUUACCAUCUUGUUUUAGUCCAGCAUCUAUUGAACAAGUUCAUUUGUCAAAAAACAGGAUAGAAGGACGGUUGGAAAGUAUAAUCCAUGACAGCCCCAAUUUGGUGACAUUAGAUCUCAGUUAUAAUCGCUUACACGGAAGUAUUCCAAAUCGGAUUGAAAGACUACCUAAGUUAAACUACAUUCUUUUGGCUAAUAAUUAUAUUGAAGGCGAAAUACCAGUUCAAUUAUGCCAUUUGAAGGAAGUGCAGUUGAUUGAUCUUUCUCAUAAUAAUCUAUCUGGUCAUAUUCCUCCUUGCUUGGUUAACACUUCACUUAGUGAAGGUCAUCAUGAGGCAGUAGCUCCAACUUCUAGUUUGUUGGGUCAACUGCCUGCCUCACCUCCAUCUGAAUCUGAGGCUGCAAGUGGACCUCCGAUGGGAAAGGAAGAAACUGUACAGUUCACAACAAAGAAUAUGUCCUACUAUUAUCAAGGAAGAAUUUUGACGAGUAUGUCUGGGAUUGAUCUUUCUUGUAACAAACUGACAGGUGAGAUUCCUACUCAAAUUGGAUAUCUUACUAGGAUUCAUGCACUAAAUCUAUCUCAUAACAAUUUGACGGGCACAAUCCCGACAACAUUUUCAAACCUGAAGCAAAUCGAAAGCUUGGACCUCUCCUACAACCUACUGCAUGGGAAAAUCCCUUCUCAGCUCACUGUGCUAACUACAUUGGCGGUCUUCAGAGUAGCAUACAAUAACUUAUCAGGCAAAAUCCCAGAUAGAGUUGCACAAUUUUCAACAUUUGAGGAAGAUAGCUAUGAGGGGAAUCCUUUUCUUUGUGGAUGGCCACUGUCUAAAAGUUGCAAUGAUAGUGGAUUAUCAGCAGUGACACCAGAAGCUUACACUGAAAAUGAAGAAGGUGAUAGUUUAAUUGACAUGGACAGUUUCUUGAUCACUUUUACAGUAUCUUAUGGAAUUGUGAUAUUAGGAAUUAUCGGAGUUUUGUACGUAAACCCCUAUUGGCGGCGAAGAUGGUUUUACCUUGUUGAAGUGUGUAUGACCUCUUGCUACUAUUUUGUGGCAGACAAUCUUGUUCCUAGAAGAUUCUAUGGUGGAUGGAUGUAAUUUCAUUUACUUUACAACUUAUAUGUAAUUUUUAAAGAAUUUUCUUUUGCAUGCAUGGAAUAGCAACUCAAUAAAAGUAUUUGAUGCAAAUUGUCCAAGAACAACUUAGUAAUUUCAUUGCUACUAUUCGGUUGUAUAUAUACAGUUAAUGAAAUUUUUAAUCAUUCGCAGUAGGAAUUUCUUUAGAUGGCGGCCAAAACUAACAGAUUUGGGGCUCUACUUCUACACAUCAUAACAGGCAAAAGGUCUCUCUUUUACACGAUCUGAAUCAUUCAAUAGGUGUCUACUUCUACACAUCAUAACAGGCAAAAGGUCUCUACUUCUACGCCCCCUGGAGUUCUCCAUUAAACUUGACGGUUGAGAUUUCAGGUCCAGAUGAAAGUUAAAUGCAGGCGACGAGACUACACUUUAAGUAAACUGGGACAAACUUAAAAUAAAAAAAACUAUAGUCCAGGGUGAGAGUGAUGGGUAGCUCAACUUAUGGAGGAUAACUAGGACUUGGAAUAACUAUCAGAUUUGCAACUCUUGUAAUAUAUAGUGGGCAUUCAGGUAGCAAUUAUCGCCUUGGGAGUUACCGUAAUCGAUUCAUUUCCUCCUUCAUUUCUGAUGGUAACCCAGCUCUAUACAAGAACAAUAAGAGAAGGUUCCUUUAAGAAAUUUCACAACCCACAAUUUUUUUUUUUCCUUUUUGCCCUGUUCCUCACAAUAAACACACCUAACACACCAAGCCGUGCCCAAAAUAAUCCUAUUUUAUUCAUGUCAUGAAUCCAAAAACUAUCCCAGCUCACUUUGUUUAACCAGCAUAACUAAAUUGUGGGUAUAAAUGAACAGACUUUCGAAGCCUGUAACUUAUAAUAAGCUCAAACCCAAAAAUGACAUUUAAAUCCUGCAAGUGUUUUUCAUCAUCCCUAACAAAAAGAAACAAGAAUAAUUAUAUACCAAUAAUUUUUCCAUAAAAAAUACUGAUUUGAGUUGAAGCACUAUACAAACUGGGUUUUAUUACACUUGCAGAAAGCUACACGGUAGACAAAAUCUAGCAGCUACAUAUUGGUAUCACUUUCAGCUGGUCAUGAAUGGUGUGCAUUCAGCAGUGCACAAUAGACCAUGUCUAUGAAUUGAUUGUCCUAUUACAUAUAAAAGCUGGUCAGAUAUACAAGGAAAAAAAUAAUAAUUGAAAAUGCAUCACAAAAAAUAAGUGUUUCGCAUUAGUGUUUGCACUCUUAAGCAUGGCAAAGUGGUGCAGGGUUCAUGAUUUUGAAGACAAUGAUAAGUGAAAAAUAGUUCAAUCCAUUGAUGAACAUAAAUUUAUUUACAUGUCAAUUUAGAUACCAUCAAAAAGUAAACAGUAAUUCACAGUCACUUAAAAUAGUUGAUAAAAUGCGUGCCAUGAAUGCAUUUUUGUACAUAAGAAAUCCAAAGAGUAUUUCUGACAAUACAAAUAUGCUAGCUUUAAGUCUGCUGUCAAUAUGCAAUUAAGAAGAUUAUACCAGCUGCAUGAUAAAGUUCCCCUAAUCUUAAUAACAAUAAACAUGAACAUGUCAGAUGCAAUUCUAGCUUCGACCAUUUGCAUAACCAGAAAUCCUAACCUGAACAAGCACCAGAAGUGCCUCUCGGACUUUCUCCUUGCUGAUAAAUGGUCCACUGUUCCAAGUAAGAGCAGGAGUAAGAGAUGGUGGAGGGAUUGGUGGUGGAAACGGUUGAAGCACUGGGGCACCAUAUGGGCGUUGUAGACUCAAGGGAGUAUUAAGUGGCAGAGCUGUUGGUGUAGAUGAAGAGACAGGCUGCAUCAUCCCCGCAGAGGAGGAUGGAGGAGGAACAAAGAAUAAGGAAGGCUUUACAAGGUUAGGGGUAGGUGCUGACAGAGGUGGAGAUGGUAUUGCAAGGUUGGCACGAUAGGAGAAGCAACACUGGCGGGAUGAGAAGGUAAAGAAAUAGUUGUAUUGGACUGGUAAGGUUGUGCAGAGAUUGCUGCAUUAGAAGUAUUCCCCACAGUCAAAGCUGUCUGCAAUGAUAAGGACAGAUGUCAUAUACAAGGACAUCAUAGAAGUUGAACCUCACACAAAAAUGAAGUGAUAACAUGUGAAAAUAGUAUAUGACUUGCUGCAUUUUUGUGGUAAUGUUGCAUACUUAUGUAGAAACAUAUUAUUUCAAAGAAAACAUACACUGAAGAAGUUCACAAAAGCAGGAUCUUCAGGAACAUCAACAGCAUUUGAGGGAGUUGACUCUAGAGGACCAUCCAUAACUGCCAUAGUUGGAACAGCUUCCAGUUCCUCAAACUCACUGCAGUUUAACAUAAAAGGAACUUGAUGACCAAUUUAAGUAAUAAUUAGAUGAUAUACGAGGUUAGGGAAAAUGAUGAGUGGACCCUUAUGGAAGGUGAUUUCACCUUAGCUAAACAGGAAAAUAAAAAGAAAUCAAAGCUGAAUCCUCGAGUGCAAUGCAAAGAAUUUUUUCUCUCUUCUCUAACUCCUCUUAUUCAAAAUUGCUCAUCAUUGUGCUGUUCUUCGAGAUUUCGCUAGAGUAGAGAAAGCUAUUCUCCCGUUAAGUGCAGAGGAAAGAGAAGGGCAAAGGCCUGGUAUGAUGCUAUUCUAUAAGAAGUGAGAAAGUGAAGGGCUAAAAUAUUUUGCAAUUUGGAGGUGGUGUUUUUCAGUGUGUGUGCUUCUGAAUUUAUUACCUCUUUAGGAUCCAUAGAAAUUGCCUCUUGUUCAGCAUGCACUGUGCCUACGAGUAAGGCGAGCUUGCAUGGUAUCUAUUGUCUAUUUAUUUGGAUAUUCAAACAGGACUACCAGCAACCAAACACAAAUCCCCAAACAAAACACUCUUUCAAGUGCAAGGAAAGAGUAACUUGGGCAUAUUUAUGGUUCAAGCACUACCAUAACUAAGAAUGUGAUGCUGUCCACAAACACUAUAUCAGUGCCUUUUGAACUACAUCACAUGCUCGAAGACUUUUUUUUUAGUCAUACAUAAAUUAGCUAUAAAAUUAAGACUAUUAUACAACUAAAAAGAAAGAAAAAUUGUUUGCUACUACAUAUCAAAACUGGUAAUAGCAAUGUAAGAUGGCAGACUUCUUACUUAAACAGAUGAGAGGCUGCAAAUAAAAAAUUUGUGCAAAUAAAAUAUAUGAUAAAGAGCAUAAUACUUUCUUGGGGGCUAAAAAUAAUAUACAACUUGUGAAAUAUAAAUUGAGCUACCAUUACCUUUUAGAUGUAGCAACUUUCGACUUUUGAGGCACCUUGGAAUAUGCAUUCAGAAUCCUGCAUUUGGAAGCCAAAUAAAUAAUGUCAACAACAAUUUUACAAUAGAAAAAUUAAAAAUUGAUAAAUGGCAGUUGUAAUUUAUGUAUGUGUAAAGAUAGCAUCACAUCCAGGGUCCUCCCAUAAACAUGCUUGUAACAAGAAUUAGUUUGCCUCAACUGCUAGCAACUAUACAAUAGUAAAAAUCACUCUUAUGAACUCAACAAUACUAGGCACCAAUAAGAGUAUGAUACCGCCAUUCUAAAUGGAAGAGAAUACAACUGUUUUACAACUAUGUCACAUCAGGAGAUAUGCUAGGAGGAUUAAUCCAGAUACCAUCCAACCCAAUUUGGAAAACUCGAGUCAGAAACCAGGAGCUGUAACCAAACCUUACAAUCUUGAAGGAAGAAGGAGACUUGGGGCAUUUUUCCAGAUAGGUGACUUACAAGAUCUCCUGCCAAGAAAAUAUCUAUUGCUUUGAACCUCCAUUGAAAUUUCUUUUCCCUUUUUCUUGUUUUGACUUGGAACUUUCCAGCAUCAUCUAUUUGAUCUUUUUUAAAGCUAAAAUAGCAAUCUAUGGGUUGUCAACAUCUUAUCCCCCCCCCCCCCCCCCUCGGGGGGGCCCCCAAAAAAAAAAAACCAAUGAGUUGUCAAUAAAUAGCACCUACUCAACUUAUGUUCUCCAAUGGAUGACAAUGUGCAAAUCGACCUAGCAGCCACAUUUUUCCCCCCUUUCAACCACCAUUAGGCAACUUUUCUAACCUUUCUUCAUUGCCCACGUCUACAGAACUAUCAUAUAAAGACUACAUUAUUAUUGGGAUAGAGAAUAAAAUACAGACUAUAUUAUUAUUAUAUCUAAUUUUAUGAAUUAACUAGUGCAAGACUUAUUUAGUGUCAAAUCAAGAACUAAUUAGAAAAGACAACUCAUGAUAAUACAGACCUUAAAAGGCAAUAGCUAGCAACACCCCAUAUACUCCUAUUUUAGCCUUCAAUAUCCUGGUAAAAACACAAUUAAGUCUUGCAAAAGAACAUUCACAAGUAAAUUCAACAUUAAUUAAGAUUAAGUAUCUACUGCACCUUCAAUCAAUGACUGGGUGAAUAGCAUGGUCAACCAUCCAGUUCCUGUAGCCCUCCUUGUACCUAUGUUAGUUACAUUUUACAUAUUAAGCCACGAAAAUGAAGGGUCACAGCCUGGUAAAGAAAGCCAUUAAUUAAUAGUUUUUGUUUAAAAAGUUCUCGUUUAGAUCUUUCCUAUUCAAUGAAUCAACGUAAUCCAUGGAGAACUCUUCCAUUUCAAGCAUUGUUUGAAGAUAAUUGGAAAGCCUAAAGAUAGUAUACAAGGACCAAGAUAUCAAUUAGGUCAAAUAGUGAAUGUCAAAUAUAAAAAAUAAAUAAAAGAAGUUGUACAUGAUCAUUUACUAUCAAGUUCUGUAAAAUUGAAAAUACCAUUAUCCCUGUAGAGAUUCUCAAACAACUCUUUAGCAAAUUAUAAAAUAGUUAAAAAAAGAACGAAAGUUUAAAAAAAAAUGUACAACAGCCAUAUCAGGAGAUGUUUUUCUUCUCAAUCUCAAUAUUUUCUAGCCGUAAAACAAUUGAAAAGCUUAACACCAAGUGAAUUAUUAAGAAUUCAUCAUUUAAAUUCCCAAAUCGCAAAAUGUUGGUGCAACUAGGAAAGUGCAAAUGCAAUCACUUUACUAACACAAGAAACAUCAAUAGUGAGAAGCCCACUUUGUAUCAAAUUUGAAACAGAUAGAUAGAGGUCAAAAAAAUUAUAAAGAAACUCAAUUAAAAGCCUUUCAAACAGCUUUUGCAUGCAACAAGAACAAAUCAAAGGCGAUGUGAAUGUAUUCAAAGACUAAUUUACAAUCAUCUACAGGACAUAAAUAUCUUGGAUAACUACUCUCUAUACCUUACUGUCCCACUGAAAAUCAUCAAAUCCCUCCAAACAAAAAUGACAAAAUGGAUAAGAAUUGUCUGGUUAAACUUCAAUAACUUAGCAGCCACAGCAAAAACUUAUGUAGGCACGCAAGCCACUCAAAAUAGUCAUAUUGUUUGCUUUCCAAACAAAAGCCACUUUGUAAUGAAUAUUCAUAAAUUGCUACUACCAUGUUUGUUAAAGCACGUGAAAACCACCAUAACUAACUAAAUGUAACUGAUGAUCAUCAUCAAGUUCAUGGAAUCACAUAUCUGACAGUAUUAAUUAGUGCAAAUGGCAUGCUUCUUAAAACUCCGUAUUUCUCACAUGGGCGCCAUUCCAAUCAACCAAUGAUUCUGAUCUAGUCGGCAUAUUCAACCCACGAGCGAGUAAUACCUCCUAUUGCUUCUUUACAUUUCUCAACGAAAUUCCACAUUCUAACCAUACUUCUGAACUUGUAGCUCCCAUAGACUAAUACAAUAAAAAGAUUUCUUCCCACACCACCUCAGCCCCCACUCCUGAAAAACCAAUUUAAAUUCUCAUUGGCUGUACAACCUAUAGUCCAUACCAAAUUGAAAAAUUUACAAAUAUAGAACCUCAAAGAAUCUUCUUGCAUUCCAUUUUUUACGGCAAGAAAUUUGACUUUUACCACAUGCAAGUCAACAAAUAAAAAAAUCAUGUCUUUGUGAGAUGCACAUUUUCAGACGAAUCUGAAGAGCAAUGAAACCGUAAAAACCGAAUAUGAGAACACCGAGGACUCCAGAUAUCACCUAUAGAAUCUUCGGUCCACACUUGCAUGAUGAAAAUGAUGAAAAAAAAUUGAAGGCUUCGUCACCAGCUCCCCAGGUUGUUUUGUUCUCCUAUCUCCUAAACAUAAAGGAAAUGCAACCUGUUCUUUUUUCCAAUCUUAAGGGGCACAGAACGACUCUGGUAUAAAAUAGUCAGUUUCUAUACAAAAAUAACUCCUUUGCACUUGGCAUUCCACAUCUCGAAAUAAAAAGCAUGCAAGGAGGAGAAUAUAAUAGCAUUAAACAAGUUUUAUUAACCAAACUUCAAAGAUGCCAGGCAAGGCAAAAAAGAAAUCUGUACAAGCCAGAUCCCAAGAAUAAUAAUUCCAAUAUACAAUUCACAAAAACAAUAACUAAAAACAUGUUCAUGAGGCCUCAGCAGAAGCAACAUGUAAUAACCAUACUCUAUUAUUUGAAACACAUUUCCAAGUUUGGUUAAGAUUCUAAACUAUUCUCUAUGUGUCAAUUAUUAACAUGUAAAACAAAAUAAUAUACACUUAAACUACUACAGUAGUAAAACCAGUAAAACAACAAUACCUGCUAAAAAGAUUUGCUACCUCUUCACAUUCACGAGCAUUGUAGAACCAAAUCCCAUUUACUUCUUGGGAUGCAUUCCGAUAUAACAAAUACGGAACCUGAACUUCAAACUCAAAAUCUCCCAAAGGAUUUUCCACUAAAUUAUCUGCACAUAUCCAAGAUAUUGAAGCUUAUCAGUGCAAAAACAUAUGCAAAAAGACAUGAAGGUUAGGAGACAUAACUAAAACUUAGCAACAACUGAAAAGCACAACAAGAAAUGAAAUAUAACAUGAGUUGUAAACAAGAUAGACACGCGGUAUCUAAAUAAUUGUACCAACCCCCUCUCCUGAUUGUCAUAAAACAGCCAAUAUUUAACGCUAGACAACAACAUUGCAAAUACUCUAGCCUCUAUAUUAUUGGCAUAUAAAUAUUUUCGGUUAGGUACAUUAUAUUCUUCGUUCUAAAACCUCAAUUAUUAGCUAGUAGCCUAGUACUGUGAUAAAAUGAUUCAUCACUGAAAUUAAAACUAGUUCACGUACAAAUAAUCAAAACUGAAAUAGAAGCAACGAUAAACCAACCUGUAUUACGUCGAUUCAUCACAACAAACUGAAAUCGAGGCUGUGUGUUCUUGAAAAUUGAAAAAAUAAUAAUUUCACCAACUUCAUAUGUAAUACAAUCUCCAAAAAACCGAAUAUCAAAUGAAAAAAUGGAAAGCAUAAGAGAGAAAAGAAUCUAAUUUUAUUGACCUUUUGACGACGAAGAGAGAUCCUUCAACAUCCUUAUGACUCCAUUGGCUGAGGUCGAUGUUGAACUCGUAGAAGGUGACAUGAGCGGCCGUGAUGAGGAUCUCCUCAAUGAAUGGAUCGAUUCGCUGAAGAACUGUCAGGUUUAGGAGUUUUGUGCUCUGCUGGUCCAGAUUAGCCAUUAAUUUUCCGUUCUGCGACAUUUUUCAUAGUCCUUUUGGGCUCUGCCUCGAGCACAAGCGCCAUGGUUUUUCUGUGAGCUCUCUCUUUUGUAAAUAAAGUGUUUGAUGAGAUAGCCGAGAGAGAGUGAAAGAGUUGAGACUCGAGAUUGAUCUUGCUUUAACUUCUUUCAAACAUUUGGGAAAUAGCAUUUAUUUCUUUCAAAUUCUCUACUUUUUUUUCCUUUAUGUUAUUUAGACCCCAAAAUUAGAUUUAUUAUAAUCAUAUUUUACCCGUACACUAUUAAUCCCUUUUAUUUUAAAUUGUCAAUAUUAAUGUUUCAAUCAUAACUAAUGUGAUAACUCAUCGGUAACUGUAACAUUAACUUAAUUAUUAAUGUUUAUCAUGAAAUGAUGAGAUUAUUAUUCAAAACUUAGUAAACAUCAAUGACUAAUAUAAUAUGACAAUUACAGCUGAAUAUUAGUACAAUAAUUAGGAUUCCUAAAGUUAGUGAAUGUAUUAUAAUAUAUGUGUGUUACACUAUUUUAUGUCUCUCAAAUUCAAUUAAGUAAUUUCAGAGACCUAACCUUUUAUUACAUUAAAUUAAGAAUGUAUACAUGAAUGAAAGAUGUGCAGUUUUUGUUCUAUUUUUCACUAUUAUUUGCCAUUCAUCUACGUACGUCACUUGAUUUUUUGUGAUUAAUAUGCUUAAAUGGAUCUCUUUGAUAUAAAUAAAAUAAACGAAAAGUCUAAGAGAAAAAAAAAAUGAGGACCGAAAUUAUUACACCUACAACAAAUUUGCCCAGAGAGCAAUAAAUCAAACUUGCUUAGGAAGUUCAACAAUGAUUAGUUAAUAACUAAAAGAGCCUUCACCUAACAUGUUAAAGCUUCCGUCAAGCACAAACCCAUUGAAAGCUGUUUAGGUCCGUUUUAGAUCAUCGGAAAUUUGACAAAAUCAUAAAAACCCUCAUCUUAGAAAUUCCAAGCAUCAGGCAAUAGUCCUACUUUAUUGAUAUUGAGAGUUACACAAUAAAAGUUUCGUACAAAUUUUGCAAACGAAAAGCACAUAAUACACUUAACUAGGAGGGAAAAUUAAAGUGUAUAUAUUACAAACUGCUAACAAUAUACAGUAGUAAAAAUCACUCUUAUGAACUCACAAAUACUAGGCACCAAUAAGAGUGUGAUGCAGCCAUUCUAAAUGAAAGAGAAUACAAUUGUUUUACAACUAUGUCACAUCAGGAGAUAUGUUAGCAGGAUUAAUCCAGAUACCUUCGAACCCAAUUAACCAACUCGAGUCAGAAAUAUCUAUUGCUUUGAACCUCCAUUGAAAUAUCUUUUUCCCUUUUUCUUGUUUUGACUUGGAACUUUCCAGCAUCAUCUAUUUGAUCUUUUUUGAAGGUAAAAUAGCAAUCUAUAGGUUGCCAACAUGUUAUUCUGCCAAACCCCACCCCACCCCCUCCCGGGGGACAACAAAUAAUGCCUACUCAAAUUAUGUUUUCCAAUGGACGACAAUAUGCAAAUCGACCUAGUAGCCACAUUUUUCCCCCUUUCAACCACCGUUAGGCAACUUUUCUAACCUUCCUUCAUUGCCCACACCUACAGAACUAUAAUAAAAAGACUACAUUAUUAUUGGGGUAGAGAAAAUAUGCAGACUAUAUUAUUAUUACAUCACAUUUUACUAAUUAACUAGUGCACGACUUAUUUAGUGUCAAAUCAAGAACUAAUUAGAAAAGACAACUCUUGAUAAUACAGACCUUAACAAGCAAUAGCUAACAACAUCCCAUAUACUCUUAUUUUAGCCUUCACUAUCCUAGUAAAAACACAAAUAAGUCUUGCAAACGAACUUUUAUAAGUAAAUUCAACAUUAAUUAAGAUUAGGUAUCUACUGCACCUUCAAUCAAUGACUGGGUGAAUAGCAUGGUCAACCAUCUAGUUCCUGUAGCCUUCCAUGUACCUAUGUUAGUUACAUUUUAUAUAUUAAGCCAUGAAAAUGAAGAACUCUUCCAUUUCAAACAGUGUUAGAAGAUAUUUGCAAAGCCUAAAGAUAACAUACGAGGACCAAGAUAUACACAGAUAGUUUCUUUACGGGACUAAAGAGCUUUUUUAGAUGUUAAAACUGUUUCAAACUGUUUUUCUUGUUUGGUUUAACUAAGGAAGAGCUUGUGGAAGAUUAAAAAUGAUGUUUCCUGUUCUCUGUAGGAAGCUUUUAGGAGAUUUUUUGGGUUUUUUUGAAAGGUUGAAUUGUCAAAAAUACCUUGAUGUUAUUGUUUGCUAAAAGAUGUUAUGGACAACUAAACAACCAACAACAUUUUGUUAAAAGCUCUACUCGUGUAGGAUCUACUUAAAGAAUCUAUACCAAACAGAUUCUUAGACUAAUAACUCGAUCUUAAGUUUGUAAAAUUGGGCUCAGAAUCUCCACUAAGAACCCCGCUUCGGUGAGAAAGCCCAAGCCUGUUACUUUGUAUAAGCUUAUUCUGUAUGUUUGAUUGCAGGAACUGGCCGAUCAUACCGACGAGGUGAGUGUGCAACAUGAGGUGCUUGACGGGAUGUUUACUUUCUAUGAUACAACUAAAGCUAGCCUCAACAUAUAUCAGGUGCCUGCUUGUUUUUACCUUCUAGAUACUAAUAUUGUUUAGACGUGUAAUCUCUCUCUCCAUUGAACGCUAGACGGCUCGUCUCAAGCCUUCUACGUACAUCAGAGUCCUUCUUUAGCUUUUUAUGUAUAAAGUUUUGAUCUUUUUCCUUCAUUUGCUUGAAGCUCAUUACUGCAGAUUUUUUUUACAGGUUGCUAGUGUAACAUUCGACUUGCUGUUGCUUCUAGUGUUGGGAUCGUAUUUAAUUGUGCUUUUCAGCUUUCUUGUCACAACAACUUGGGUAUUACUCUUUCUCCAUAUCAAGCUUGAAGUUCUAAAUUUCAGUUUUAUCUUGUAUUUGAUGUUUUACAGGUUGCUGGAAAUGUGUUUGGUUAAUCAGAAAGAGAGCAAGAAAAUGAAAGAAAUCUAUUUCACUUUUUAUUUAUCAGCAUGAUUACAUUCACAAUGAAUCUAAGCUGCUAUUUAUACUUAAAUGACUACACACGAGAAUCUUCUUGCUAGAUAUUUCUAGAAACUCUACACGCACACUCGCACUGAGCUAGUGGUUACUAAAACCGUUACAACGAUAUUGCCAGCUCAGCAUAACCAACUUAUAACUAACACACUCAGCUGCAGGGGAAACCAUCAAGCUUACUGUGCAUCCUCUGUAAUCAAGCUUCUUUAAGCAUGCUCUGCAGAUCAUACGUCUGAAUUAUCGAAACAAGAUGAAUUAUUUUUUGUUUAUUUCAGCAGGCGAUCUAUGAGCGGAAUUUCUUGCAACAAAAGAUGUGUGUCCACCGGCUUGUAUUCAAUUCGCGAUGGAAUAAGAUCCCUUCAGCUUAUGAGAACUUCAAAUCAACUUAGGUCAUAUUUACACAAGGGCGCACAUGAUAUUAAUCUAAUGGCAAUUAUAUCAUCUAAAAUCCAAAACGAAGAGUCUCCCAUUUUCUUGUUCUCUACUCUGUUCAUAUUAUCAUAAAUUGACGAUUGCAAGGCAGCCGCAGAAAGGGAAUCGGCUUUUGGAAUAGGCGGCAUUUUUUUCAUAUGAAACAUAAAACAAUUUAAUAUCAAUUUUCUUCAGGAGACUGAGCAGAUUGUCUCGCAAGUGGCGCAUCGGUAUUGUAACGUCUGCUGGGUCUUACAUUAUCCACAAAAAUAACUCGUCCAUCUAGUAACUGCAAGUACAUACUUUGAGAUGCUUAAACUCAACAAUAUAAGCAUGGUAAAUUAGAGAAAAAUGAUGCAACUUUACCUUCCCAUUCAUGUCUGCCAAGGCUUUUUGGGCUUCCUCUUCUGUACUGAAAGUCACAUACCCGUAACCUUUUGAUCUAUUCUUACCUUUAUCCAUUAUUAUUGUAGCUGCAAAAAGAAAAGAAUCGGAUAUUAGAAAAUAGUGAAGAGGGAACAGGGGUUGAGACUUAAAAUAGAAAUAGACCAAAUCCUCAGUGACUUGGCCAAACUGUGAAAAAGCAUCAGCUAACAUCUCUUUAGUGGUUGAGAAAGAUACGCCUGCAAAGGAUGCCAGUUAAUUUUAUCAUAAUUAGAUGGUAAGAUUGCAAAUUCUGCAGCCAAAGGUAGUACGGAACUGAAUGAAGGAAAUCAAAUAUGAAUAUGUUUUCAAUCUCAAAAUAUUAAGAGUUACAAGUUCAAGGGAAUCAGAUGAUGGCAUGGUUGAAUUUUAUAAAUAUUUGAUAUUUUGGACCGAACAGGGCAAACAGAUGGAUCCAGAUAAUCAAGAAAAACAUCAAUUCCAUGCAACCAAAUUAGUGUGGGCAAUGCAAUUGAGCAACACUAUAAAAUUAUUCAAAGAAAUCUCUAGGUCAGUAUCCAAAUAUAUGGCUCCGUCCGUUCCACCACCACAACCAAAAAAAUCAGAUCCCCCCAUUUGGAUUCGAUUGAUUAAUUUGAGCAUAUAAAAUCGGGUUUUAAACUUCCCUAAUCAAAAUUUAUAUUCCACAGAAUCAGUUCCUUUAACAUGAUGCAUGACAUAAUAUUUUGUUUGCAAAAUAAAGAAGAAAGAUGACAUAAUAGAAACACUCACAGAGAGAGAAUACCUUCGACGAAAAGCUUCGAAGUGAAUCCUCUGUAAAAUACGAGUUGAGCUGCUGAAUUUUUCAAGUUUGAAUGAGAGACUGCGCCGUUUCUGAAAAUGUUUUUUUCUCAUUAGCGCCGCCAUUUUUGUAAUAGAGGGUAAAGAAAUAAGUAACAAAGUAAGAGGUGAGCAGAAGCGGCCCAAUUUAGUUAUAUGCCAUGUAUGCGAUCAAAAUUGAAUGGUUAAAUGGCAGCCACUGUGUUACAUCUUGUGUACGUAACAAACCGCCUACAUGGGAUCAUUGGAUUCGGGAAUAUGAAAUCCAAUGGAUAAUAUUGAAUUUAACGAAAAAUAGAUUACAGGUUGCAUUAGUCCAAGUUUAUUUCAAACAAACCAGCUGAUGAAAUAGCCGCUAAUCAAAUUUAAAAGGGAAAAAAAAAUCAAAUUAUAGGUUAUAGAUCUUAUUUCCAUCUUAAAUCUGUCUUUCAUGGUGACUCAAUGUGUAUACUAAUUUAUAAUUUGGAUCUAUAUUAGAGCUAAUGCUUCCCUAAAUAUCUAAUGAAAAUUUUCUUUUCAUUUAAUAAUAAAGAAAACUUGCAUUAAAACUAAAAGUACGGUAAUACCUGAUUUAUAAAUAGAUUGCAAUGUAAUUUUGAUAAAUAAAACAAUAAUUUAUGAAAUGGUUAUAACAUAAUUUUAAUUUUUUUUUCAAAAAGGAAAAACAACAAAAGUAAGAAAUAGAGAAUGAGGGCUACAAACUUUGUAUCUUAAACGGCCGUUAGAUUAUUUGUAAAUGAAAGCAACGGUGAGAUAUUGGUGGCUUAUGGAAACAGGUAAUCAUAAGGACUAUGAGUUUUUUUUUUUUUGUUGUUGUUACAUUGAUAUAUUACAAUCAUGAUUCUAUUAAUAUUUACAAUCAGAAUUUUAUCUGACUAUCUUUCAUAAUUCUAAACUAGUACAGCCUAAAUUCCUAUUCUCAUAUAAUAUCAAAGAGAGAUAUAUAUUAUUUUCCUCUAUUAACGAAGAGAUAUUUUUACUUCUAUCAAAUUUAACUAGAACGAGAAUUAAGUCAUUUUCAAUAGUCAGGACUCAGAACUCAUACACGCUAGUUUGAAAGUGUGGGGUGUGACAAUGAGCCAAGAGACCAUUGACAAGUACAAAAGAGUAGUUGCAAUUAAUUCAAACCGCUACACACGCUAUUGCAACCAAAUCGAGGGCCCUUUUUUGUUUGUUUCAUUGAAAAGUAGUUUGCACAAUUAAUUCAAACCGCUACACACACUAUUGCAUCUUUUGAAAAAGAAAAAUGGAAUAGUUUUCCAAGAUUAAUUCAGAGAAUAAGAUUUAAUAAUAAUGAUGUUAGAAAUCUUGAUAUUUGAAUCUUAAUAUUAUGUAUCAUUGAUUUAUUAAAUAAUAGAUUUCAUAGUUUCUAAAAGUAUUUAACCACUUGAUAAAUGUUAUAUUUGUUGGGACUAAAUUAGGACUUAAAUGUUGGAAUAUCUAACAUUGCAUAAAUAAAUAAAAACUUAAUAAUUUAUCUUCACACGACUAAUUAUUUUUACAUCACAACUAACCUUAAUUAUUUUUAAAGUAACAAUAUUAUUAAAUUGCGCUGACUAGUUAUCAAAAGAUGAAAGCAUGUUAAAAUAAGAAAGUACUAAGAAACAUGUGCUUAAACAAAGGUUAAGGCUACGAACAAUUAAGAAGAAACAACUUACAAUCAAAGGUUAAGAUUAUGAACAAUUUAAGGAAGGUAUUGAGCAGAGAAAGGGACGGAAUGGUUUUCUGAAUUGCCGGUGACAAGAAUGUUUGUGUUGUGAAAAGAAAUCCAAUGGUUUGUAAAUGGGUUGAAUUUUUCGCUCGCUUCAAUGACUUGCUUAUGCCCAAUAAAUUACUUUGCACAAUAGUAUUUGGGAUCCUAACAAUCAACUCUUAAUUUGGUCCCAAUAUAUUACUUUAUGAAUGCUUGUGUUGUUUUUUUUUAUAUAAAAUAAUUUAUUUAACUAAUCAUAGAAAUAAGAGAGAAAAGGGGGCAUUUGUUGACUCAAAGUCAAUUACAAAUACAUAACUCUUUCACGCGUUCAUGAAUUUCCAUGAAAGAGAGUGCCUCUCGUCUCUUUCCGGACAGUGACUCCAAUUAUGUUAACGUGACAAAUACAUAACGCUAUUACAUACAAGAAUAAGUUUUUGGAGCCGAGACUUGAGGGAGGUUCUAUCUAAUUCUAAAGGUUGUAACCAAAUCAUUAUCCCCAAUUUUUUUCAGUUAAAUAAAAUAAAAUUUAUGCUUAAGUAUAAAUAAUUUUUUUAAGUUAAAUAUAAAAUAAAAUUCAUGAACUUCCUAGAAAGAAAGAAAACCCUUCACCUUCUUCGUGACAACAAAUGAUGUUGAUAUGACAAAUACAAGCGCUAUUACAGGGAACAGCAUAAGACCGAGACUUGAUAAAUAUUAAAUAUAUAUUAUAAGUGGAGCAAACGAACAGAAUAAUAGAUAUUUUAUAAUACUCUUCAUAAAAAUCCAAGUUUUGAGCUGGCCUAUAAGCUUAUCUAGUGAAGUCUGGGUAUCCGCGUUGCCCAAGGUUCCGUUUGAAUCCAGGCCGUGUAGAUGUUUAAGACAUCGCAUAUGGACGGAGUGGAAAUAUUUUCAGUUGACUGAAUUAAAUAAAAAUAUAUUACAAUCAUAUUAUAUAUUAGCAGCAAAAAUAAAAAGAAAUGAAGAAAAACGCAUGCAAGACUUAGACAAGUCAAUUAAAAGCUGGGAGUAUCAUCAGUUCAAUUGAUUAUAAAUAGCGUAGAGCCAUCCUCUCGUUGUUGCAGAACUGAAGCAAAGAGACUCAGAAAGAGUGUGUGUAGGUGAUUAUAAUUAAGAAGAUAUAAUGUGUGGUUCAAAAAGAGUGUGGGUGAGUGAGUUAAUUUUCAUAUUAUUAGUAGUAAAAGGGUGGUGGAGUGAGGGAUGUUUGGAGCAAGAGAGGUCUGCUCUCCUCCAACUCAAACAUUUCUUCAAUGAUGAUCACUGUCUUCAAAACUGGGUAGACGAUGAGAAUUAUUCAGAUUGUUGUCAGUGGGAAGGGGUUGAGUGCAACGACACCACUGGCAGAGUGAUUGAAUUAGAUCUAGCACUAACUCGGAAUUGGGAAUCAGCAGAGUGGUAUAUGAAUGCCUCUCUGUUUACUCCCUUUCAACAAUUAGAGUCUCUUGAUUUAAGUUUGAACAAUAUAGCCGGUUGUGUUGAAAAUGAAGGUCCUUAAUUUACUCUAUUUUAAUUUUUCCUCCUCGUAAUUUCUUACAUCUAUCUGAUCCCUUUUGGCUUUUGUGUUAAUUUGCACGUGAUACAAUAAAAUUAUUUUUUAUUUUUUAUUUUUUAUUUUUUGGCAGGUCUGGAUAAGUUAUCAAGGUUGAACAACUUGAAGUUUCUUCAUUUAGACAUUAACCACUUCAACAACAGCAUCUUUUCGUCUCUAGGUGGUCUUUCAUCACUCAGAAACUUAUCAUUGGCUGGUAAUGAAUUGGAUGGAAGUAUUGAUAUUAAAAGUAAGUACGCUUCAACCCUUCUCCCCUGUCCCAUCUUUUGUGGAUCUUAUUUCACUGAGCAGCUGGAAGUAUUGAUACGAGAUCUAGCUAGACUCUUGUGAGUUUAGGCUUCAAGGCUUUGAAUAUUAUAAAAAUAGGAUUAAGAAAUUAUCAAUACAUAAUGUUAUUACAUACAAUAAUAGUUCUAAAGAUUGUAACAAAAUCAUUAUCCCCAAUUUUUUUAGUUAAAUAAAAUAAAAUUCAUGCUUAAGUAUAAAUAAUAUUUUGGACAUUCUUGAUAUUUGUCCUUUUAAGAUAAACAGCAACCCAAUUAUCUAUUUGUUUGUCUGUUUAUUUUUUUUAAUAACAGUUUGUUAGCAUAAAUAUUUACCUGUGAAGUCGAGGAGGAGAAAAUGUUAGAAAAAAUAAAAAGAAAAAAAAAUUAAGGGGGAUAGAAUCAGAUUUUCUUUUUUGAGCAAAGAACAUACGUAAAAAGAUAUUAAAUCUAUUAAGUCUAAUUGUCUAUAACGGCAAAUUGCAUAACGAAUAAUUUAUCAGUGUAAAAUAAAUUUUAUUAGAUUCUGAUUAUUUGUUUGAUUUCUUUUCUCUCUGGACUCAACUUAUAUUGUUUAUUUGAUUUGAUUUUAUUAUUUUUUAAAGAAACUUAUUGUUUAUCAAUACUGAAUGGCUUAAGAUUGAUGUCUUGAUAAUAGAUGGGGCAAUAUUGCAUUUUUAAUGCAGUAGACUUUGAAGUUAUCAUUGACAAGCUUAGAUGAAUUACUAGGACCAUAAUACAAAUGUCACAGGCAUCUAAGGCACUUACCAAGUUUUGAGUACAUUCCUGUUCCUAUCUAAUAGUUUUUAAUUUCUUUAAUUUAAGACCCCAUUCAUUAAUAUUUUCUUUAUUGUGAAGUUAAUUUUUUUAUUUGAAAUUAAUUUUUUUUAAAAAAAAAUUUGUUGACUUAUAGUUUACCUUUGUGUUAAAUGUUGGCAAAAUUAUUUUGUCCAAACCAUUGUUUUUGUCCUGAACGUCCAACUAAAAACUGAAUCAAGGGUUAAGUUGUAAGGUUUCAGUUCGUCCGUUAUAUUAAUUUAUUGUUUUAAUAUUAUGCAGUACAAAUAGGUGUAUAAGUCCAUCAUUUAAAUACAAAAUGAAACCACAUCAAUAUAGAAAUUAAAAGAAAAUGAAUUCUCACAACCAUACGGUGAGAUUCAAACUCUCUAUCUCCGAGGAUUUCUUAAAGUUAUUCUUAAAUUAUACUUAAAUGGUUAAAUUUAAUAAAUAAAGGUUUAAUUCUUUUCUCGCACAUUGUAGAAGCAAAUUUUCUCCUCUGUUGAAAAUUCUAAAUAUUUUUUUAAAUUAGGUUUCAACUAUGACAUAUCAGGAGAGAUUUGAUACAUUUCUAAUGCAACUGAUAUAACAACACAACUUUGUGAUUUUUACUAUUCAGGAGAAAAAGAACACAACCUGUAUAACCCAACCGUUUAUAUACAAACAUCGAAUCGCUUUUUAAAAUUAAAUUGGGAAAAUUGGGGAUAUAAUAGUUUUUCAUAUAUAUACAUUUUUUCCUUACAAAUUUAAAUUCAUGGUUGUCAUGAGCUAAAUAUACCUGCUUAAAGCCACUCAGUCGAACCCUUUGAGAGCUGCUUUAAAUUUUUCGGAUUAGCCAUAUUCUUUUCACUGAGAUUUAACAUAAAAAAAAGGAGAAAAUAAGUUAUUUAAUUAACUCUAUUUUAAGUGUUGGCAUAAAUACAGGACUCGAUUCCUUGAGUAACUUGGAGAUGCUGGACAUGAGCGACAAUGCAAUCGACAAUCUAGUGGUUCCUAAAGGUAUACAAAAUGUUCAAAUAUUAAUAAUUUGGAGGACAAUUUAAUUGAUUUGAUAAGGGAAUGCCCAAUGACACUUACCCAAAAUAAUUUAAUCCGAAAUUGUAUCUCAAAUAGAUUACAGAGGUUUGAGGAAGUUGAAUACCCCUUUUUUGGGGGGGGGGGGGGGGGGAGAGGGAGGCAGUGAUAUAUGGAAGCAAGGUGUUGCAAUCAAUAAAAAAAAUUUGUUGGUCAAUAUUCAAGGACUCAUCCAAAGUAAUCGUUAAAGUCUAGAGGUCUGCCCUCCACCAACUCAAACAUUUCUUCAAUGAUGAUCAACGUCUUCAAAACUAGGUAGACGCGGGAGAUGAUGAGAAUAAUUUAGAUUGUUGUCAGUGGGAAGGGAUUGAGUGCAACAACACCACUGGCAGAGUGAUUAAAUUAGAUCUAGCACAAACUCGAAAAUGGGAAUCAGCGAAGUGGUAUAUGAAUGCCUCUCUGUUUACUCCCUUUCAACAAUUAGAGUCUCUUGAUCUAAUUGGGAACAAUAUAGCUGAUUGUGUUAAAAACGAAGGUCAUUAAUUUACUCUAUUUUAAUUCUUCCUCCUCGUAAUUUCUUACAUCUAUCUGAUCCCUUUUGGCUUUUGUUUAAUUUGUACGUGAUACAAUAAAAUUAUUUUUUUUCAGGUCUGGAGAGGUUAUCAAAGUUGAACAACUUGAAGUUUCUUGAUUUAGGCUUUAACCACUUCAACAACAGCAUCUUUUCAUCCCUAGGUGGUCUUUCAUCACUCAGACAAUUAUCAUUGGCUGCUAAUCGAUUGAAUGGAAGUAUUGAUAUUAAAGGUAAGCAAGCUUCAUCCUUUCUUCCGUGUCCCAUCUUUGUGGAUCUUAUUUCAUCAACCAGCUGGAAGUAUUGAUACGAGAUCUAGCUAGACUCUUGCUAGUGCAAGCUUCAAGGCUUUGAAUAUUAUAAAAAUAGGUUUAAGAAAUUAUCAAUAUAUGCAAUUUUCUAUGCUUCUCAUAAUCAGACACAAUUCAAUCUAAUUAUUUCGUUUGUCCUGUCUUCAAAAGUAAAGAAUUGUACACUAAACGGAAAUCGACAUCGUAGCUUUUUAUUUUUUCUAAUGCUCUUUCUUUGUUAACGAGUUUAUAUCCUGAGAGUGGAUUGGAUUAAAAAAAAAAAAAAAGUUUUGAUGUUCAAGGUAAGCCAUAAUAACAUGCAUCUUAUUUAUCUGCCUAUAUCUAAAUUUGUGCACUGAAUUUAGUAUUUUGGUUAGUGUGAAGGGAUCAGAUAUUGGCUUCCAUAAACCAACUUGUAUUUACUUAAUUAAUUAAUUAACACCAUUUAGUAUUUAACAAAUUAAAAUUUCGUGUUUAAUUUGUCUUUUUUUUUUUUUUUUGAAACAAGAAUAAGGUAUAGCAGUAGGUAAAGUUGAAAUAAAUUUUUAUUCCUUACAAAUUUAAAUUCGCUGUUGUCAGCCAAAUAUACCUACUUAAAACCACUCAAUCAGGCCCUUGGCAACUGUUUUUUUAAGGUUUUUCUGGUUAGCCGUAUUCUUUUCUUAUUAAUAAAAUUCUUUUCGCUGAGAUUUAAGAUAAAAAUAAAAAAGAGAAAAUAAGUUAUUUAAUUAACUUUGUUUUAAGUGUUGGAAUAAAUACAGGACUGGAAUCCUUGAGUAACUUAGAGGAGCUGGACAUGAGCGGCAAUGCAAUCGACAAUCUAGUGGUUCCUAAAGGUAUACAAAAUGUUCAAAUAUUAAUAAUUUGGAGGACAGUUUAAUUGAUUUGAUUAGGGAAUGCCCAAUGACACUUACCCAAAAUAAUUUAAUCUGAAAUUGUAUCUCAAAUAGAUUACAGUGGUUUGAGGAAGUUGAAUACCCUUUAUUUGGGGGGGGGGGGGGGGGAGAGGGAGGCAGUGAUAUAUGGAAGCAAGGUGUUGCAAUCAAUAAAAAAAAUUUGUUGGUCAAUAUUCAAGGACUCAUCCAAAGUAAUCGUUAAAGUCUAGAGGUCUGCUCUCCACCAACUCAAACAUUUCUUCAAUGACGAUCAACGUCUUCAAAACUAGGUAGACGCGGGAGAUGAUGAGAAUAAUUUAGAUUGUUGUCAGUGGGAAGGGAUUGAGUGCAACAACACCACUGGCAGAGUGAUUAAAUUAGAUCUAGCACAAACUCGAAAAUGGGAAUCAGCGAAGUGGUAUAUGAAUGCCUCUCUGUUUACUCCCUUUCAACAAUUAGAGUCUCUUGAUCUAAUUGGGAACAAUAUAGCUGAUUGUGUUAAAAACGAAGGUCAUUAAUUUACUCUAUUUUAAUUCUUCCUCCUCGUAAUUUCUUACAUCUAUCUGAUCCCUUUUGGCUUUUGUUUAAUUUGUACGUGAUACAAUAAAAUUAUUUUUUUUCAGGUCUGGAGAGGUUAUCAAAGUUGAACAACUUGAAGUUUCUUGAUUUAGGCUUUAACCACUUCAACAACAGCAUCUUUUCAUCCCUAGGUGGUCUUUCAUCACUCAGACAAUUAUCAUUGGCUGCUAAUCGAUUGAAUGGAAGUAUUGAUAUUAAAGGUAAGCAAGCUUCAUCCUUUCUCCCGUGUCCCAUCUUUGUGGAUCUUAUUUUUAUUUAAAUUGUCUUUAAUUUGUCUUAUUUUUUAUUUUUUGAAGCAAGAAUAAGGUAUAGCAGUAGGUAAAGUUGAAAUACAUAUUUAUUCCUUACAAAUUUAAAUUCGUUGUCAGCCAAAUAUACCUACUUAAAACCACUCAAACAUGCCAUUGGCAGCAGUUUUUUAGGUUUUUCUAGUUAACCGUGUACUUUUUUGCUUAUUAAUAAAAUUCUUUUGUGCCGAGAUUUAAAAUAAAGAAGGAGAAAAUAAGUUAUUUAAUUAACUUUGUUUUAAGUGUUGGAAUAAAUACAGGACUGGAAUCCUUGAGUAACUUAGAGGAGCUGGACAUGAGCGGCAAUGCAAUCGACAAUCUAGUGGUUCCUAAAGGUAUACAAAAUGUUCAAAUAUUAAUAAUUUGGGGGACAGUUUAAUUGAUUUGAUUAGGGAAUGCCCAAUGACACUUACCCAAAAUAAUUUAAUCCAAAAUUGUAUCCCAAACAGAUUUCAUAGGUUUGAGGAAGUUGAAUACCCUUAAUUUAGGGGGAAGCGAAAUUCGAAUGAUAGAUGGAAGCAAGGUGUUGCAAUCAACAGGAUCACUACCGUCCCUCAAAACACUUUGCCUUUCGUAUACUAAUUUUACGGGAACAGUAGUUAAUCAAGGUAAGUAAAUCUUUUAUGUCGAAAAUAAUUGAAUUAAUAUAUAUAGCUAAAAUUUAUUGUUUCUACUUCUUUCUAAAUAGAAUUGCACAAUUUCACCAACUUGGAAGAAUUGAUAUUGUUCGAGUCUGAUCUCCAUGUAAGCCAGCUUCUGCAAAGCAUUGCAUUAUUCACUUCGUUAAAGUAUUUGUCAAUGCGAGUUUGUACACUUACAGGUGCCGUACAUGGUCAAGGUAAAUUACGGGUAUCUGAAGCUUUUAUGAUAUUAAUUCGAUAAUAAUUCUUUCUUUUCAAGUUAAUUUUUUCCCCUAAAAUAAGAUUUUUUUUCUUUUAAAUUUUAUAUAUUUUCAUUGUCCAAUAGUUCUAGCUUCUCUUAAUUGCAGGAUUCUUGAUUAAGGUUAAUGAAAUUUUAGUUCUGUUAUGUUAAGAAUAUUUCGAUCGCUUAGAAGAGUAAAGAAAAAUAAGUAAAUUAACCAAAAAAAAAAAAGAAAAGGACCGGAUUAUCCUUAUUCCCUUGCAUUAUGUGAUCAAUAUCAAAAUUAUAACCAUUUCUUGUUUAUUGCUUGUAGAUUUUCAUAAAUUCAAGAAUUUGGAACAUCUGGACAUGGAUGGGGCGCAGGUUGACGUCAACACCAGUUUUCUUCAAAUUGUCGGCGAAUCGAUGCCUUCUCUUAAGUUUUUAUCACUGACAUAUUUUAGUCUUAAUAAAAACACCAUUCUUGAUCAAGAUCAAGGUUAAUUAAUGAUUCUCCUUCUCCCUCUCUCGCAUCAUAACUAAAUUUAAUUGAGAAUAUCUAUAAUGCCAGCUAUUUAUAAACUUAAUGAAUGAUGAUAAGGAGCUAUUAUAAUGACAAAAACAACUGUAAAAUAGUGCGCUGUUGUAGUGUUAAUUGAAAAAUAAUGCUAAUUUUAUAGUUAUUUUGUUGCCAUUACGUCAGAUUCCAUUGUUCAAUUAUUUAAGUUUUAUGCAAUUAUAUUUUUCAGGACUUUGUCGGUUAGUGCAUCUGCAAGAGUUAUACAUCGGCUAUAACGAUUUGAGAGGUAGCUUGCCAUGGUGCUUGGCAAACAUGACAUCCCUUCAAGUGUUAGAUGCCUCUUCUAAUCAACUUACUGGAAACAUCUCCCCAGGCCUUUGUGAGUUGGUGCUUCUGAGAGAGUUACACAUUGAUAACAAUGAUUUUGGAGGUAGCUUGCCUUUGUGCUUGGCAAAUUUGACUUCCCUUCGAGUAUUAGAUGUCUCUUACAAUCAACUUACUGAAAACAUCUCCUCAUCUCCCCUCUUGCAUCUAACAUCUAUCAAAGAGCUCAUACUUUCAAAUAAUCACUUCUUCCAAAUCCCUAUUUCACUUGAACCACUUUUCAAUCUCUCAAAACUCAAGACUUUCGAUGGUGAAAUAUGCGCAGAAACUGAGUCACAUUAUAAUUCUUUGACCCCAAAAUUCCAACUGACUUCUAUCUCACUGUCUGGUUACAUAGAUGGUGGCAUAUUUCCCAAAUUCUUGUACCAUCAGCAUGACUUGAAGAAUGCUGAUCUCUCACACCUUAACUUGAGUGGAGAAUUUCCAAAUUGGUUGCUAGAAAACAAUACAAACUUAGAGACACUUCUUCUUGCCAAUAACUCUCUUUUUGGAUCAUUUCGGAUGCCAAUUCAUUCCCACCAGAAUUUAGCAACAUUGGAUGUCUCCAACAAUUUCUUUCAAGGCCAUAUUUCGGUAGAAAUCGGAACAUAUCUGCCAGGUUUAAUGGAUUUAAACUUAUCUAGAAAUGCUUUCAACGGUAGCAUUCCCUCUUCAUUUGCUGAUAUGAAAAUGUUGGAAAGGUUGGACAUAUCUGACAAUCAGUUGACUGGUGAAAUCCCUGAGCGCAUGGCCACGGGUUGCUUCUCAUUAGAAAUUCUUGCAUUGUCAAACAAUAGUUUGCAAGGUCAUAUAUUCUCUAAAAAAUUUAACUUGACAAAUUUGAUGACGUUGCAGUUGGAUGGUAAUAAAUUCGCUGGAGAGAUCCCAGAAAGCUUAUCUAAGUGCUAUUUGUUAGAAGGAUUAUAUCUGAGUGAUAAUCAUCUCUCUGGUAAGAUUCCAAGAUGGUUGGGUAAUUUGUCAUAUUUAGAAGAUAUUAUAAUGCCCAAUAACAAUCUUGAAGGACCAAUUCCAAUCGAGUUUUGUCAGCUUGAUUCUCUGAAGAUUUUAGACCUUUCAAACAAUAGUAUUUUCGGAACCUUACCAUCUUGUUUUAGUCCAGCAUCUAUCGAACAAGUUCAUUUGUCAAAAAACAAGAUAGAAGGACGAUUGGAAAGUAUAAUCCAUGACAGCCCUUAUUUGGUGACAUUAGAUCUUAGUUAUAACAGCUUACACGGAAGUAUUCCAAAUCGGAUUGACAGACUACCUCAAUUAAACUACCUUCUUUUAGCUCAUAAUUAUAUUGAAGGCGAAAUACCAGUUCAAUUAUGCCAGUUGAAGGAAGUGCGGUUGAUUGAUCUUUCUCAUAAUAAUCUAUCUGGUCAUAUUCCUCCUUGCUUGGUUAAAACUGCACUCAGUGAGGCAGUAGCUCCAACUUCUAGUUCGUGUGGUCGAGCGUCUGGCUAUGCACAGUUCACAACUUCUCAUAAUACAAGUGGAUCUCCGAUGGGAAAGGAAGAAAUUGUACAGUUCACAACAAAGAAUAUGUCCUACUAUUAUCAAGGAAGAAUUUUGACGAGUAUGUCUGGGAUUGAUCUUUCUUGUAACAAACUGACAGGUGAGAUUCCUACUCAAAUUGGAUGUCUUACAAGGAUUCGUGCACUAAAUCUAUCUCAUAACAAUUUGACGGGCACAAUCCCGACAACAUUUUCAAACCUGAAGCAAAUUGAAAGCUUGGACCUCUCCUACAACCUGCUGCAUGGGAAAAUCCCUUCUCAGCUCACAGUGCUAAAUACAUUGGCGGUCUUCACAGUAGCAUACAAUAACUUAUCAGGCAAAAUCCCAGAUAGAGUCGCACAAUUUUCAACUUUUGAGGAAGAUAGCUAUGAGGGGAAUCCUUUUCUUUGUGGAUGGCCACUGUCUAAAAGUUGCGAUGAUAAUGGAUUAUCAGCAGUGACACCAGAAGCUGACACUGAUAAUGAAGAAGGUGAUAGUUUAAUUGACAUGGACAGUUUCCUGAUCACUUUUACAGUAUCUUAUGGAAUUGUGAUAUUAGGAAUUAUUGGAGUUUUGUACGUAAACCCCUAUUGGCGGCGAAGAUGGUUUUACCUUGUUGAAGUGUGUAUGACCUCUUGCUACUAUUUUGUGGCAGACAAUCUUCUUGUUCCUAGAAGAUUCUAUGGUGGAUGGAUGUAAUUUCAUUUACUUCACAACCCACAAUUUUUUUUUUUCCUUUUUGCCCUCUUCCUCACAAUAAACACACCUAACACACCAAGCCGUGCCCAAAAUAAUCCUAUUUUAUUCAUGUCAUGAAUCCAAAAACUAUCCCAGCUCACUUUGUUUAACCAGCAUAACUAAAUUGUGGGUAUAAAUGAACACACUUUCGAAGCCUGUAACUUAUAAUAAGCUCAAACCCAAAAAUGACAUUUAAAUCCUGCAAGUGUUUUUCAUCAUCCCGAACAAAAAGAAACAAGAAUAAUUAUAUACCAAUAAUUUUUCCAUAAAAAAUACUGAUUUGAGUUGAAACACUAUACAAACUGGGUUUUAUUACACUUGCAGAAAGCUACACGGUAGACAAAAUCUAGCAGCUACAUAUUGGUAUCACUUUCAGCUGGUCAUGAAUGGUGUGCAUUCAGCAGUGCUCAAUAGACCAUGUCUAUGAAUUGAUUGUCCUAUUACAUAUAAAAGCUGGUCAGAUAUACAAGGAAAAAAAUAAUAAUUGAAAAUGCAUCACAAAAAAUAAGUGUUUCGCAUUAGUGUUUGCACUCUAAGCAUGGCAAAGUGGUGCGGGGUUCAUGAUUUUGAAGACUGUGAUAAGUGAAAAAUAGUUCAAUCCACUGAUGAACAUAAAUUUAUUUACAUGUCAAUUUAGAUAUCAUCAAAAAGUAAACAGUAAUUCACAGUCACUUAAAAUAGUUGAUAAAAUGCGUGCCAUGAAUGCAUUUUUGUACAUAAGAAAUCCAAAGAGUAUUUCUGACAAUACAAAUAUGCUAGCUUUAAUUCUGCUGUCAAUAUGCAAUUAAGAAGAUUAUACCAGCUGCAUGAUAAAGUUCCCCUAAUCUUAAUAACAGUAAACAUGAACAUGUCAGAUGCAAUUAUAGCUUCGAGCAUUUGCAUAACCAGAAAUCCUAACCUGAACAAGCACCAGAAGUGUCUCUCGAACUUUCUCCUUGCUGAUAAAUGGUCUGCUGUUUGAAGUAAGAGCAGGAGUAAGAGAUGGUGGAGGGGUUGGCAGUGGAAAAGGUUGAAGCACUGGGGCACCAUAUGGGCGUUGCAGACUCAGGGGAGGAUUAAGUGGCGGAGCUGUUGGUGUAGAUGAAGAGACAAGCUGCAUCAUCCGUGCAUANNNNNNNNNNNNNNNNNNNNNNNNNNNNNNNNNNNNNNNNNNNNNNNNNNNNNNNNNNNNNNNNNNNNNNNNNNNNNNNNNNNNNNNNNNNNNNNNNNNNNNNNNNNNNNNNNNNNNNNNNNNNNNNNNNNNNNNNNNNNNNNNNNNNNNNNNNNNNNNNNNNNNAGAAGGUAAAGAAAUAGUUGUAUUGGACUGGUAAGGUUGUGCAGAGAUUGCUGCAUUAGAAGUAUUCCCCACAGUCAAAGCUGUCUGCAAUGAUAAGGACAGAUGUCAUAUACAAGGACUUCAUAGAAGUUGA